AGGAGACAACAUGCACACUGCAAGAGCUAUAGCCUUGGAAUGCGGGAUAUUCAAUCCGGAGGAAGAUCUCGGACAUGAAGCCAUAGUAGAGGGCGUGCAAUUUCGCAACUACUCGCCUGAACAGAGAGCGGCAGCAAUCGAGAAAAUCCGGAUAAUGGCUAGAUCAUCCCCAUUUGAUAAGCUUUUGAUGGUGCAGUGCUUAAAGCAGAAAGGGCAUGUGGUGGCAGUCACUGGUGAUGGCACGAAUGACGCCCCAGCCCUAAAGGAAGCGGAUAUCGGCCUCUCCAUGGGAAUCCAAGGCACUGAGGUGGCAAAGGAGAGCUCAGAUAUCGUCAUCCUUGAUGAUAAUUUUGCCUCCAUGGUGACUGUUCUGAGGUGGGGACGGUGCGUCUACAACAACAUCCAAAAGUUCAUCCAGUUUCAGCUCACUGUGAAUGUGGCUGCACUCGUCAUCAACUUCGUUGCUGCGGUCUCUUCUGGCGAUGUCCCUUUGACAGCGGUCCAGCUUCUUUGGGUGAACUUGAUUAUGGACACCCUGGGAGCUUUGGCAUUGGCGACAGAGCAACCUACAAAUGAUCUCAUGCUAAAGCCACCUGUUGGACGAACCAAGCCACUUAUAAGCAGAGUCAUGUGGAGGAAUCUCGUAUCUCAGGCCUUGUACCAAGUUAUCAUCCUCCUGACCCUACAAUUCAAGGGGAGUUCCAUUUUUGGGGUGGACAAGAAAGUGAGGGACACAAUUAUUUUCAACUGCUUUGUCCUCUGCCAGGUCUUCAACGAAUUUAAUGCCAGGAAGCUGGAGGAGAAAAAUAUAUUCAAAGGGAUCCAUAAGAACAAGAUGUUCUUGGGCAUCAUUGGCAUGACCAUAAUUCUUCAGGUGGUGAUGGUUGAGUUUCUAAAGAGGUUUGCCAACACUGAGAGGCUGGACUGGGGACAAUGGGGUGCUUGCAUCGGACUCGCAGCUUUGUCUUGGCCAAUUGGUUGGCUUGUUAAGUGCAUUCCAGUCUCAGGCAAAAAGUUGUUCUUUUCCCGCUGAGAAGAAGCAUUCUGAACCUAGCACAAUGUUAAACUCCGAGAAAAGAAACUUUUCUUUUAUUAUAAAAAUGGUUAGAGUUUAGGAAACUGUUUUUUAAAUUCUAGAUUUUAUGCAUUGCAAGUACUUUUUCUAGAUUUUAUGCAUGGUAAGUAUCUUCCUAGAUGACCUUUGUCUACAGAAUCAAAUCAACAGUUUAUUGCCAUCCAUUAUUUCAACCUUUGUGCUUUGGUCUUGCUUGCUAUGCUACUGUUGAUUUUGGAAAAUCUUGAAGAUGAGGUUAUUAAUCAGGUGAUCGUGCUAUAUGGCCUGCUUUAACAUUAAUAUCUGAACUAGCAUUCAAAAAGUUAUCCUACUGGAAAACUGAAGAAAAAAUUUCCUAGUUCUCAGCAAGCUUCUUAAUGGGGCAGUAAAACCCCAAAAACUUAUACCUCAAGCUCAUGCAAGUGUCACGGCCCGAAAGUUAGCAUGUCCAAGAGGUUUCCAUGGCACGGGCGUGACCCGUGAUGACCCUCGACCUAUGUCCCCGAGAUGUACAGUAUUCUCCUAGGGGCGGGUGAUACCGUAUUUGUACGCAUACAUUAUAAAUGCGAGUAGCUGGUAGUUGGCCAUAAAUGCAUAUAGCUGGUAGUUAGCUAUGAAUGCAAGUGGUUGGUAGAUGGGGAGGUGCAAUCUCCACCGUUAGAUCUAAGGGAGAUCUACGGGUAGGGUUUGCUGUAUACUUGUAUAUAAAGGGGUGUCCUCCCUCAUUGUAACUCAUUCACAACAUAUAUGAAAAUCCAGAGCUUCUCUCUCAUCAAGUGUUUAUCUCUCUAGAAGUUCGUUGUGAGUCGAGUGUGAGAAAGGCUGCUUAGGGGUAAAACCUUAAGGCCGCACGGGUGAAUCGAGAGUUGAUCGAGAGUUGAUCGAUCGGCCCGUGACAAGUGGUAUCAGAGCUGAUUUGCGAUCCAAGCGCAAGUGCAAUGGCUGAUCCACGAUCUGAUGAGGCGUUGGUCCUGGGUGAAGACGGCGCUGAUCGUGGGCGGAACGCCAAGAAGGGCGGUGGCCGAGGGAAGAAAGCCCGUGGUGGUUCAAAGGAGCCUAUGGGGGAUCUUGCACAACGGAUGGCGAAGCUAGAGCUGUUCGUCUGCGAUGUCCAAGGAUCGGUCGAUGACCUGACCCAGACCGUGGACGGAGUUGACGCCGGAAGGGAGGAGCUGUUUGCGGAAGUGCAAGAGCUCAAGACCGGCAUGGGAGAACUCCGCCACGAGUUGCUGGGGACCCUACAGGAAGAACUCACCCAAAGGUACGAACCCUUGGAGGCUGCAAUGGCGGCCAUGCGCGCGGAGAUUGCUGAGCUUACGGGUAAGCUCGCCGAGGCACAAGCUGCACGCGUGAACGGUGUCAUCACGGUGCAAGGUCCACGGGUGGACACACCGAAGCCAAAGGAAUUCCGGGGCUCGCGGGUGGCCAAGGACGUGGACAACUUUCUGUGGUACAUGGAGCGAUACUUCCAGGCCAUGGGAAUCAACGACGACCAAACACGGGUAAACACUGCAUCUAUGUACUUAGCGGAUAGUGCUUUGUUGUGGUGGCGUCGUCGGUCGGAUGAUAGGUGCGGGAAUCCUAUCGCGACCUGGGUAGGCUUCAUCGAAGAGUUUCGACGGAACUACUUUCCCGCUUAUGCGGAGGAGGAAGCUCGUGACGAGCUGAAGUGUCUCGAGCAAAAAGGUGGUGUGCGCGACUACAUCAAGCGGUUCUCGGAGUUGCUACUCCAAAUCCCCUCGAUGAAUGAAGUUGAAGCGUUUCACCAGUUCAUGGGUGGUCUCAAACCAUGGACGAAGCAAGAAUUGAAGCGGUACAACGUGGGAGAUCUCAUUACGGCCAUGACCGUAGCCGAGUCGCUCGUGGAGUACAAGGCGUCGCCUUCCACAUCCCGACCGGACACCCGUCCAAGGGACAAAGGCACUGGUGGGGGAGAUCGGGGUAGAUUCAACAAUCGCCCGACUGGAGCUAGACCGCCGAAUGGUCCUCAUCCUCACCGGGCCAAUGCUGGACAAAAUGGAGGUGGGCAAAGGAAGGUACGUUCCUAUAGCUGCUUCUUCUGCGACGGCCCACACAUGGCGCGGGAUUGCCCGAACAAAGCCAAGUUGGCCGCUCUUUGUAAGGAAGACGAGCCUAGGGAGGAAGCACGGUUGGGAUCGUUGCGACUCCUUAGCACGAUCAAGGCCAAGAAGGCAAAGGAGCCUAAAGGCUUGAUGUUCGCGGACGUGAAGAUCAGAGUGACCACAAUGAGUGCGCUCGUGGACACGGGAGCAUCCGACAUCUUCAUCUCGGAAGAAGCCGCGAAGAAGCUUAACCUACGGGUUGAGAAGGGAGCCAGCUGGCUCAAGACCGUGAACUCAAAGGAAGUCCCUGCGAUCGGGGUUGCAAGGGACGUGGAGCUACAACUCGGCUCGUGGAGAGGCAAGGAGACUCUAGAGGUAAUUCCACUUGACGACUACGAUAUUGUCAUUGGAAUUAAAUUCCUAGAUAGGAUCCAAGCUGUUGUAGUUCCCUUUGCGGAAUGCAUAUGCGUGUUGGAAAAGAGUAGCCAAUGCAUGAUUCCGGUCCAUCGUGAGUCGGAGCGUGAUCGAAAGAUGAUCUCGGCUAUACAACUCACCAAAGGAGCAAGGAAGGGAGAGAUGACCUUCCUGGCGACCUUGAAGAUCGAGGACGAUAAGGGUGAAGGGAAAGAAGUCCCGACGGAAGCGACCCAAGUCCUCGACUCGUUCAAGGAUGUUAUGCCUUCGGAGCUGCCGAAGAAGCUGCCACCCAAGAGAGAGGUGGAUCACCGGAUCGAGCUUGUGCCUGACGCUCGACCGCCGGCCAUGGCGCCUUACCGUAUGGCGCCACCCGAGUUAGAAGAGUUGAGGAGGCAACUCAAGGAGCUGCUCGAUGCGGGCUAUAUACGGCCGUCAAAGGCCCCGUUCGGUGCGCCGGUCCUAUUCCAAAAGAAGCACGAUGGGUCACUCCGGAUGUGCAUCGACUACCGGGCGCUGAACAAGCUGACCGUGAAGAACAAGUAUCCGAUCCCGCUCAUUGCGGAUCUCUUUGAUCAACUUGGGAGCGCUAAAUGGUUCACCAAACUGGAUCUCCGAUCGGGUUACUACCAAGUUCGGAUCGCCGAGGGGGAUGAGCCAAAGACAGCCUACGUGACGCGGUACGGAUCCUAUGAAUUCCUGGUUAUGCCGUUCGGUCUAACCAACGCUCCGGCCACUUUCUGCACGAUGAUGAACAAGGUACUCCAUCCUUUCCUAGAUAGGUUUGUUGUGGUUUACCUGGACGACAUCGUCAUAUAUAGUCGGACGUUGGAAGAACAUGUCGAGCACAUAAGGCAGGUCUUCCGAACCUUGCGCGAGAACGAGCUGUUCGUCAAGCGCGAGAAGUGUGCCUUCGCCCAAGAAGAAGUUCCGUUCUUGGGGCACAUCGUCGGGGGUGGACGUGUGCGGAUGGACAAGGCGAAGAUUCAAUCGAUCGUCGAAUGGGAGCCGCCGACGAAGGUACCUGCGUUGAGGUCGUUCUUGGGCCUCACCAACUACUACCGACGGUUCAUCCGGAGCUACUCAAGCAUCACCGUGCCACUCACGGACCUGCUAAAGAAAGAGAGGGCGUGGGAGUGGACGGAUCGAUGCGAAAGAGCCUUCGACCGAUUGAAGACCGCCAUGACCGAGGAGCCGGUGUUGGCGUUGCCCGACCACACCAAACCUUACGAGGUAGAGACCGAUGCAUCAGAUUAUGCGAUCGGUGGUGUUCUUAUGCAGGAUGGACAUCCGGUGGCGUUCGAGUCUCGAAAGCUGAACGACACGGAGCGUCGGUACACCGUCCAAGAGAAGGAGAUGACGCGGUGGUGCACUGCCUUCGGACGUGGAGACAUUACAUCCUGGGAUCGAAGUUCGUCGUGAAGACGGACAACGUGGCCACGAGUUACUUUCAGACCCAAAAGAAGUUGAGUCCGAAGCAAGCUCGGUGGCAGGAUUUUCUGGCGGAAUUCGACUACGCGCUGGAGUACAAGCCGGGGAAGGCCAACUCUGUAGCAGACGCGUUGAGUCGAAAGACGGAGCUGAUGAGCCACACGGUAAGUCGACCAAGCUGCCCUUGGGUCGACCGCAUCAAAGAAGGGCUGGAGCAUGAUCCAAGAGCCCAAGCUCUCAUCGGGUACGCCAAGGAAGGUAAGACCCGACAAUUCUGGUGUGAGGACGAGCUCCUUUACACCAAGGGAAGGCGACUUUACGUGCCCUUCCAUGGGAAGCUGAGGAAGGAAAUCUUACGCGAGUGCCACGACUCGAAGUGGGCGGGUCAUCCUGGGAUCCACCGCACGUUGGCCCUCGUCGAAGAUCGGUACUAUUGGCCCCAAAUGCGCGACGACGUGGAGGCGUAUGUGAAGACUUGUCUGGUUUGCCAACAAGACAAGCUGGAGCAACGAUCGUCGCCAGGCUUACUGGAGCCGCUUCCCGUCCCAACUCGUCCAUGGGAAAGCAUUUCCAUGGACUUCAUCGUCAACCUACCAAAGUCCGAAGGGUGCCGGACUCUAAUGGUGGUGGUCGACCGGUUUUCGAAGUAUGCAACCUUUGUGCCUGCGACAAAGGAUUGCCCGGCCGAAGAAGCGGCCAAAUUGUUCAUGAAGCAUGUGGUGAAGUACUGGGGAGUGCCAAGAACGAUCGUGAGCGAUCGGGAUCCCCGCUUCACGGGACGCUUCUGGUCCGAAUUGUUCAAGCUGCUGGGGUCGGAGUUGAACAUGUCAACGAGUUUGCAUCCCCAAACCGACGGUCAGACGGAGCGGGUCAAUGCACUCUUGGAGAUCUACCUCCGGCACUACGUGAGCACGAUGCAAGUGGAUUGGGCGAAGUUGAUCGACGUAGCCCAGUUCUCCUACAACUUGCAGCGGAGCGAGUCGACCGGCCAGAGUCCGUUCGAGGUUGCAACUGGGCAACAACCGAACACCCCGAGCACCAUUGCUUCGGGUUACCGGGGGAGUAGUCCGCCCGCGUACAAGUUCGCCAAGAAUAUGCAAGAAGAGACGGACUUGGCCGGGCGUGUCUACACAAAGCCUCCAAGCGCAUGAAGAAAUGGGCGGACAAGAAGCGACGGCAUGUGGAGUUCCAAGUUGGAGACCAAGUGCUGGCCAAGCUGCACGUGGUUCUUCGAUAUAAGGACGUGCACAAAGGGUUGAUCCGUCGCUACGAGGGGCCAUUUCGAGUGCUACAACGGGUUGGAAGAGUUGCAUACAAGCUGGAACUACCGCCGAAGCUAAAAGUACAUCCGGUGUUCCACGUAAGUAUGCUCAAACCCUUCCAAAUUGAUGAGGAAGACCCGGAUCGAGGAGAGUCUCAUCGAGCACCGCUCGGGGCAAAGACCUCGUAUGAUCGGGAAGUUGAGUCCAUCUUGGCGGACCGAGUCAUACGAAAAAGGUAUUGUGCGCCCAAGCGCGAAUAUAUGAUCCGAUGGAAGGGUCUUCCGGAGAGCGAAGCCAGUUGGGAGCCCGAGGAGAGUCUUUGGCAGUUCAAGAAAGAGAUAGAAGAUUUCCAUGCCGAAGACGCGACGAGGGCGUCGCCUAAUUAGGUGGGGGAGAAUGUCACGGCCCGAAAGUUAGCAUGUCCAAGAGGUUUCCAUGGCACGGGCGUGACCCGUGAUGACCCUCGACCUAUGUCCCCGAGAUGUACAGUAUUCUCCUAGGGGCGGGUGAUACCGUAUUUGUACGCAUACAUUAUAAAUGCGAGUAGCUGGUAGUUGGCCAUAAAUGCAUAUAGCUGGUAGUUAGCUAUGAAUGCAAGUGGUUGGUAGAUGGGGAGGUGCAAUCUCCACCGUUAGAUCUAAGGGAGAUCUACGGGUAGGGUUUGCUGUAUACUUGUAUAUAAAGGGGUGUCCUCCCUCAUUGUAACUCAUUCACAACAUAUAUGAAAAUCCAGAGCUUCUCUCUCAUCAAGUGUUUAUCUCUCUAGAAGUUCGUUGUGAGUCGAGUGUGAGAAAGGCUGCUUAGGGGUAAAACCUUAAGGCCGCACGGGUGAAUCGAGAGUUGAUCGAGAGUUGAUCGAUCGGCCCGUGACACAAGGGUGGCCCUUUCUGUUCUUUUAUCGCAUCAUAUCUCUCAUUUACUAUAUUAACAAAAGGCACAUGGUCCCACGCGACAAAACUAAUUUUAUUUGAUGCAGAUGGCGAGGGACAAACCGAGUCCCCUAUAGUGAGAACAACUUCAAAUCCUCAUGUGCGAAUUAUAUGGCACACUAUUUUAACUAAAUGGCCUAUCUUUAACUUUAAUGACGGGCAAUGAUUAAUAUGUAAAUACUCUAUAUGACAUACGCAUUAUAUAUAUAUAUAUAUAUAUAUAUAUAUAUAUAUUAUCAAAAUUCGUAAUUAAAAAUGAGGGAAAUUAACUAUCUAGAACAAGGAUAAUAUCUAAUUCAAUUUAGGUAUUAAACUGUGUUAAUUCCUAAUUUAAAUUAGAAUUUUAUAUUGAAUAUUAUAGAAUCUAUUUAAACAUGCAAGAUGACCUAAUUAAUCUGCAUGAUAUGCAAUGCAAUCUUUUUUCUAUUUUCUGGACAAGGAAAGCAAUUCAAUUAAAAUAUUCAAACCACUCAAUCCAAAAAGGUAUCAUCCCAUCGAUUCAAAUAUGGAACCAACAUCUAAUCAUCGACUUGAAAUUUCGCAAAUAAAAUUAACAAAUUAAUCUUAAGUCCUAAAAAUCAAAAUAUUAAUUUUAAAGGAUACUCAUGGAAUCAACACUUUCAUCUAAAGCCUUAUAGAUAUAAUCAAAGAUUAUAUGUGGUGGGGAAUUAGGAAAGACAUCCUAAUUUGGGGAUAAGCUUAUCACUCAAAAAUAUGUAUUAUUUGGUGGCAAUAAUCAUAAUGAACAGUAAGAUAUUCAAUAGAAUCGGAUAAUUAUUAUUGCCAAAUUUGGAGAAUUUGUUCCCAAAUACGAACCAGUGGAUAGCGGGUCGGAUGGCGAUUGGCGAUGGUGCGCGGUGGCGGUGGCGGUGGAGGUGGUUUUCGGCUUGGAUGGAAUGGCCGAUGAAAUAUCGAAGCCCGGUGUGAUUUAGUCUAUGAAGCACGGACACGUUGUUCAUGCUUUCAUGUCGUGUCGGACACGUGUCGGACACGUCGACACGCUCGGACACGCGUGUCGACGCGUGUCCGGAAGACUGAUGGAGGGUGGAGACGAGGGAGGGCGAGGGAGUAGAGAUCGCGAGCGCCGGCGAGACAGAGCAGAGACCGCGAGCGCCGGCGAGACGAAGCGACGAACGGACCACCGCGACGGCGAGAGACGGCUAGAGAAAGAGCCGAACAGAGAGAAAGAAGAGAGAAGGCAAACUCCCGCCGGCGAGACGAAGCCACGAACGGACCACCGCGACGGCGAGAGACGGCCAGAGAGAGGUGAGGGCCGCCACUGUUGCGAUGGAUCGGCGACGAGAGGAAGACGAGAGGAAGAGGAGAGAAGGGAAGGGGAUUGUGGGGCGCGGCAAGGAGGAUAGGAAAAGGAGGGCUCGGCCGCUGCUAGGGUUUUUCAUAAAGAAAUCCAAAAAAAAUAAGAAAGGAGGACUGAUGGCGUGAGAGGAGGGGGCGGGGGGAAGUGACAGCUCACCUGUCACUGUCAAGUGGGGGGGAGGGAAAAAAUUAAAAUAAACAUGGGGUGGAGGGAAAAGGACGAAUGAAAGAAGGAUUGGAUUUUGGGGAUUGUUUUUUUAACAGGAAAAUUAAAUAAAUAAAAUUAAAAAAUGAUUUCGAAAAAUAAAAUAUUAAAUUUUGAAUAAUGAUAAAUUUUGGUUACGGUAGAAAAUAUGGAUUUAUUUAAAUAAAUUGAUUUUAAUUUCUUAUUAAUUUUUGGUUUCAUUGAUAACUUUUGUUAAAAUUAAAAGAAUAUUUCACAUUAAUUAUGAAUAUAUCUUUCGAAUUUCAAAUGAAUUGAUUUGUUCAUAUUAUUAGUAUAAAUUUAUUAUAGGCUCUUUUUUAAUUAAUUUAUUAUUUAUGAAUUUGUAUCAAAUUAAUUAAAAUUAAAAAUAUUCAUUUAAUAUACAACGUGUCGCAACGUGUCGGAAUUCUCUAUUUUUUAGAAAUGAUGUGUCGACGUGUCGUGUCGUAUCAGACACUCGUGUCGUGUCGCGUGUCAGUACUAUAUAGAUUAUGGUAGCCUGUGGCUCGUCGGAUCUGGCCACCGGAUCUUGGUCGGCUGCCGAGCAGCCGGCCAUCGUCACGCAGGAAGGAGGCGCUGGCGGUGGAAGGAGGAGGAAAAAAAUAAAUAAAUAAUAAAUAAUAAAAUUUUCGAUUUUUUAAAAAAUAUAAAUAAUUAAAAUUUAAUUUUUUAAAAAAAUAUAUAUAUAAUAUAAUUAAUUUUUUGGUCAAUUAAAAAUAUUAAAUUCAAUUUUUGAUAAUUUUUCCCGAACAAUUAAAUGAGCUAACGAAUGGUGGAAAACAUUUUCCACUCAAAUUUUAGGUUUUGGCCGAAUACCGAAAAAUAGAAUCAUUUUUUUGGAAAAUAAUUUCAGGAAAAUAUUUUCCGGAAACAUAAUAUUUUCCGUGAAAUAAACGGACCCUAAAACUUUUUUUUUUUUUUUUGUGUGUGGGUUUCUGUGCAUUUUCAAUCCGACCCAUUUUAGGCCGCUUUUGUCUUCAUCGGCACUAGGAAUCGAGGCUUCUUGGAGGGGUGUAGCUGCCGGAGACCGCGAACCGGGUGGAGAACUCCGGGAGUGCCGGGAUGUUCGGAUCGAACUUGCCCCUGGCUCUACGUGUGAGUGGACCCCAUGCCCUCCGAGAUGCUCACCCCGUUGGCAGUCGAGGCGGCGGGGAUGGCGGCGGCCGAGGAGGCAGGAGUGAGGGCCUUUUUGUGGCACCGCUUGUGCCCGCCGAGAGCUUGGCCGGUAGAUCGAGCACUCGUGCACCUUCCAGGACAUGCCGGAGGAGGUGCUCGCCGCGGAGGUUGAGGUGGUCGGUUCGUUGUCGGCGCCGGUGAAGAGAAAGUGUGCUGGGAAGAGAGAAGAGAGAGGAGAGAGAGAGAGAGAGAGAGAGGAGAAGAGAGAGAAAAAUGAGACGUAAUUGAUAUUUUCUGUCUCGCCUCCUCUCUGACCUCUCUCCAUUCACGUUCUCUCACUUUUGUUCUCCUUGUGGCCCCUUCGUCUUCAGACGUCGUCUCCUUGGACAGCAGGAACAAAGGCAAAUGUGCACUCAUUAAUUGGCGGACAGGCGCCCAGAAUCAGCACCGAUGCCCCCCCAAAUUUAUGUGCAUUCAUGUGCGUCCAUUUAUGAGGGAGAGAACAAAAUAGACUCUUCUUUCCUCUUUCUUUGACUUUCUCUCGUUUGUAUGUUAAAGGUGAGCUUCACCCAAUUAUGACAAAUAAAUGAUCAUUUCCCAAAUCCAAGGAGAUGAGUAGAAGACGACAAAAGGAACCCCGCGUGACUAAUCCCUUCACGCUUGUGGCUCAUGAAAUCCACUUGAAAUCUUCUUCUUCUUCUGGCAAUUUCGGCUGGCCAAUUCUAAUACGCCAAUUUUAUUUACCGUCGAGUUCACAUGUUCUCAUCAGUUUAGUUUUCUUUAACGUGCUCAAACUCAAAAUAGUUUUUAAUAAUUUUUACAUUCUUUGAUAUUGCUGAGCUAUCUUCUAUUUCCUUUUUAUGAGAAUAUGGCCGAAUAUUGCCAAGCAUCCGAAUAUCUCUCUCUCUCUCUUCUUUUCUUUCUAGAAAUUCCCGCUCCCAAUAUCUUUUCCCUUCCAUUUUGUUGGCCGAGUUUUCCACCGAAUCUUGCCUAUUCCUAUAACCGAAUUUCGGAAGAAUAAUACUAAUCUUUUUUGAAAUUAACAAAUUUUCCAACUUUGUACAUCUCACAAGUUAAGUUUCAGCAUUUAAACAAUGACGGGCUUGGUGAAAUUCUCUCUUACUAUGGGCUUAGCCCAACUUACUAAAUUAAAAAUCAAAACUAUUAAUUCAAACACAUCCGCCGGUCUAAUGCAAAUGCAAUUUUGCUAUUUUUGUUUAGGGAUUAAAGAUUACUCUCUAAUUUUUAAUGCAAUUAAUUACUAGAUUAUUAAUCAAAUUGUAAGUGUCGACAGGCUCAUUGGUAAUACAAUACUAUCAUUAGAAUCAUAUCGUUGACUAUUUAACAUGAAACCACACAAUGAUACAAAAAUAAUGAGAUUGUUCUCAAUGGUGAUCAAAGAUCAAAGCCAUUUGUUUUAAUUUUAGAAAAUUGUGUACACUAUUAGAAAGGAGUUCUUGUAUAUUGAAGAUACAGGCUACAUUAAAAUUUUGUUACCCAACACUAGGGGUUGUGGCAUGAAAUAGCAAUGGGAGUUGAAACUGGUGCUUAUAUUAAAGUAUAUACGAGAAGAUAGAAAUUAUGUGGGAUUAAGAUAUUCUAAUUAAUAUUUCGACACCUAAUGCGUGUUUGCUCUCCCAAAUGAUCGGUUAUUGGUUUGCUUGAUGCAUAGGUUGCAUCACAAUUAAGGGAAUGGCAUCUGCAAAAUCCUAGGACCUAAAUCCCACAUAGGAAGAAAUUCAAUGCACAAUCAAUGAGGUCAAUACCGAUGGCAAUGGAUGAUAGAAUUCGGGGAGUUCUUGAAUCUUAUGGCCAGAAAAAUCAAGGUAUUUCAUACACACAUGUUUAUAUAUCAGUCAAAAUAGCUAGUGUCACUUAAAUCACAUAUUUGCAAAUACUUGAUUGGAUGAUUGUAAAUGCAUGAUAUAUGUUCAGGAGAAUGAAAUAGAAGAGGAGUUAAAGGAAGCUUUCAAGAUCAUUGACAAGGAUCAAGAUGUUUACAUACCUCCUAAUGAGGUUUGAAUUAUUUCUAAUCCCACAUUCAUUGUUCAACUUAUACUUCAUCAAUUGUAGCUUCUUUGUAUCUUGGAGCAAUUCCUCCUAACCAAACCCCAUAAAAAGAGGGGAAGGUGAUAGAGAAAUAUUGAAUGAACUUUUAUGAAUGGAAUUCAUAAGACAGUUGUAAAAUCUCCAUUUUUAGCUAGGAAGCCCAUUUUAGGCAAUUAAUAUCUGUGAAAUAUCUCAUUAACCACGUAAAGCCUGACAGACAUAAUCAACUAGUCAAAUAUUUUAUCCAUUGCAGUAUCCGCAAAUGUAGGAAAAUGGUCUGUUUUGUGAUAAAACAUCAUUUAACAGCAUAUAAUUCGACAUAACCACUCGUUGAAUUCUCUUUGUAAUAAUCCCAAGAAGGAGCCAUUUCUUUUCUCUCAAUGCUUUCCUUCUCUUCUCUAGUCACUAAACUUUUCUUGAACGACCUUUCUAGGGUUAGUUUAUUAUGCUUGACGUCUUUGUCUUAUGUAGGAUCUUUCAACAACAAUCCACUUAGUCUUGGUUUUCCGUCUAAAAGUUGCAAAUCUUUUACUUAUCUUCCAUCUUUGGGAUUAGACUAAUAUGAGAAGCGAACAUUAACCUUAUUCACCAAAAUUAACAUGAAGAAGGGAGAGAAAGGAUCAAAGUCCCUGGUAAUGGCCUCUAGUGAUAUUCGAAAUACUUGAACAUCUGCCUCCCUUCUUUUGAACUUCACGAGCCUUUGAAGAAAUUCCCCUGACUUGUGUAGAAGCUUCCUGAGGAAUUUUUUUUUUUUUAUUCAUUGAUCCAAUUUUGGCGACAUGUAAGGAACUUUGGAUCAAGGGCUUUAAAAGCAUUUACGGCAUGGAUGUAUUGAAUUUUAACUUAGUUGGUAAGAAUACUUAUGUUGCAAUUUCAGACUCUUCUCAGUUUGUUGUGUUGGCAAAUCUUAUGCACACAAUUUUUUUUCUUGAAUUUGGAGUGCAUGAAAGAGUCUACUUUACUUAAAUUUACAAUCAUUAAUAUUUUUUCAUUCCUGUAAAGUGAAUUUAAUCAUUUUGUACUUUGAAUGCAUAACUUAUUAGAUGCGAUAUUUAAAAUAUAUUAUGGAGAGAUUUUCCCACUUGACUGUCACUUUUUCUAGACAAAGCUCUUCAACUAUUAUUGGGUGAAAAUAAAUCAUUUUAUGAAAUAUGAAUACAUAUAAGGGGAAAAAGUCAAUUUUACUAUAAUAUAUGACAUUUUUUUCUAAAUUUAUAAGAGAUGAUUACAAUAAAAGUCUGUGACGCUGAUAGUUUUUGCUCAAUUGCACUCCAUGUGUAGAAUUAGCAAAUGUGCACACAUGUUGUGUGCGUAAGAUAUUGAUAUUUGAAAGAGUAAGUUUGUUACAUAAUAUUUGAAUCAUUAUACAAUGGGAUAAUAAUAUUGAUAUAAAAUAUCAAUAAAAGAAAAUUUAUCUAUGAAAAGAGAAUUAUUUUGUGAUUUGAAAACUUGUUAAGAAGGUUUUGUAGGAUAAUGGGUGUGUUUAGAAACACUUUGAGGAAAGGGGAAAAUGCAAACAACUUCAAGUGAAAUGAUUUUUCCAAAAUGUAAAUAGUGUUUGGUAAAAUAUAAUUUAAAAACAAAUGCAAAUUUUUUUUUGACAUAAAUAAUAUUUGGAUAAAACUACCUAAAAACUUAAAUUUAUAGAAGUCAACUGAGAAAUUUAUCGGCAAAUGAUUAAAAGAAAAUGAGAAACUUCCUUUCUAAGGAGGAUGAGAUAUCACAGAUAAAUAUUACUGCAUCUUGUCGUGUCUAGUCAUAGGUCAAGUCAAGUCAAACUUAAAAGAAAAAAGGCAAGUCUCUUGGGGUUGCUUGCACGGUGGACAAGUGGCUUAUAAUAGCGUAAAAGUCAACUCAGAAAUUUAUCGGUAAAUGAUUAAAAGAAAAUGAGAAAUUUCCUUUCUAAGGAGGACGAGAUAUCACAGAUAAAUAUUACUGCAUUUUGUCGUGUCUAGUCAUAAGUCAAGUCAAGUUAAGUCAAGUCAAGAUCAAAAGAAAAAAGGCAAGUCUCUUGGGGUUGCUUGCACGGUGGACAAGUGACUUAUGAUAGCGUAACGUGCCCUUUGAUUAUUUGACUAAAUGCACCAUUCCAUACUUAUGCCCUCUUUGGCACACUUUCUCCGUCGAAGCAAAUGCCUCCAUGUUCAUCUGACCAAGACUGAGGCGUGGCGUGCACGAUGGUGUACGUCCCUCAUCGGGAAAAGAAAUAAUCAUAGUAGGAUGGCUUAUCAUCCCAAAAUGUACUAGAGUGAUCAGGUCCGAUUCGGCUCUACUUAGGAAUCGAGAAUCCGUCGGGUCUAGCUCCACGAAAUCAAUUACUUAGCAAAUUUUUUUGAAAAAUUAAGAAAAAUACAAUAAUUGUUAUUAUUUUCAAGUUUUAUUAUUAUUAAAAUAUAUGUAUUUUUUUAAAAAGAUGUCGGUCCGGUCUAAUCCUGUGUAGUUCCGGUUUGGUCUAAUUUGAUUCUCUUCGGAAUUGAAAACUGGACCGCGAUCAUCAAUUCCAUUUUUAUAGAAUUGAGAAUUGGACCAAACUAACCAAUCUAGUCCAGUCUCUGCAAUUCUCAAUUUAGGCGGUUUGCUGUGCUCACUCCUAAAGAUUAUUGUUGCGAUUGACUAGUUCUUGAAUUUUUGGACUUUUGCUGCCAUAAAAGAUUAAAUAAAAUAGGCCCACAAUAAACGAAAAUUUAGUGACAAUACUCACUUGGAAAUAAUAAAUGGACCCCAUGGUCGUACUUUCGAAGGUCUUCAGGUGAGAGAACGGGGCCUGCCAUUCGGUUUUUAAUUUAUGACUCGAAAGGACCUCAUCGUUUUCUAUGUAAAUGAGCCCUUCUUUCCUAGCAACUCCUAAAAUUAGAUCAAAUUUCAAUUUUAUUUUGAAUUUUUUUAUCUUGAAAAAAAUUCUAAAUUUUAGAUUCAAUUUUAAAUCAUUAUCAAUUUUUUUAUCUCAGAAAAAACUUCAAAUUUAAGGUCAAAUUCCAAAUAUGCCUCAAAUUUUGUUUUGUUAAAAAAUUCAUAAAUUUUCAAUUUAUUACCCAACUUGAUGUGGCAUUUUCACGUCAAUAAGAAAUCUAUAUCAACAAGAUGACAUGAAAAUUAUCUUCAAAAUAAAACCAUUUCUAGGAUAUGAAAAUUAGAGAUAACUAAUGAGGAUUUUUGGAUGGAGGAGGACUGAUGGGCCUAGAUUUGAGACUAGAGUAAAAAUUGAUGAUUUUUUAUUUAGACAAAAAAAAUUUCGAGGGUAGAUUUAGGAUUGAAUUUAAAGUUAGGUGUUUUUUUUUAGACAAAGAAAAAUUUGGGCACAUUUCAAAUAAAUUAAAGUUUGAGGUUUUUCUUAUAGAUAACAAAAUUCAAGGCAAAAUUAGAACUACACCUAAAGUUGGGUUUUUCUUAGGAGAAUUAGGCCAUGAAAAUGGUAUGUGAUAGUUCACAACUUCGCUCGAUCCAAUUGAAGAUUGUUUUGAUAAUUGCCAGCCAUAAAGACCCCUAGUAAAAAAUUUAAUCUACUUACCUUGUUCUAUUGUGUUGAACUUUUUAUCGACUCGUUUCCUCCUUUUGAGAUCAACUUGAAGUUUUAGAUCCGUUGUGCUACAAAAGAAAGUAUGAUAUAGAUGUGUAAAUUGACGGGGUAACUUACUUUUAAGACGGAGGGUUCUUAGGUGAUGGUAUCAAUGUAACCUAGGGCCAAUGUAGGAAAAUGUAAUUGUGAGGGAAUUAGAAUUUCUGUGGCCGUAAUGCAAACUAUUCAAAUUCCUUUAACUACACAAUCACAUAUGAAACAUUAAGUCGGUGUCACUAAUACAACUUGCCUUUCGCAAUCGGAAAUCGCUUACUAAAGGGUUUAUGCCGACCUUCUUUUCGUGUUCGUCAUCCUGAUCUAAUCUUUUAUGCUUUCGAAUCAGAUUCAUUGGAGAGUUUCCUUUGAAUCUAAGGUUGUCCAUGCACAAAGGUUCCCUUAUUCCAAGGAGCUUGAAGCACAAUGUUGUUCAACAAUGGUCCAGGAAAGAAGCUACGCAGGACCGCAUGGAUCAAAGCAAAAGCAAAGUAAUGGUGAGGAAACAACACAAAUUACCAAAAGGUGAAAGGAAUUUCAUAAAAUUGUGAAAGUAGUGGAAGUAUAAGUAGAAAGGAAAAUUUCAAUUAAGGGCCUAAAGUGGAACCAUUUUCUCAAAAAAUGGCCUAAAGUGGACACUGUAUUAAAUAAGGGCCCGAAGUGACUGAUUUAGUCGGGUUUCAACUUGAAAGCCAGUCAAAUCUUAUUUGCAGCUAGGGGUAUUUUCAUCUAAAGACUUUUUCUUUUCUUUUCUUUUCUUUCUUUUUUCCAUCUUGCUCACCUCCUUCUUGGCAAAUGCAUCAAACUCCUCACGCACGAGCUUGAAUAGGUGCAGACCAAUUUGAACAAUUUAGGAAAAGCAGAAAACGAAAAGAUAUUCAAGAAGUUAUGUGAUUUUGCAAAACUGCAAAUUGCGUGCUUUAGUUAUGCGGCCUCCCCAUCAGCAAACUUCAAAGCACACACUCUCUACAUUAUGCAAUUUUGCAUCCUCACCCAAGAACUCAUCGAUUUUGGCAUAAGCCGGUUUUUAAGUUAUUCUCCUCCACUCACCUUCUUCGAUGACGAUAAUGAACUUGAGAAUCAAGAAACAUCCAUAAGUGGAUUUUGUUUUUAUUCAAUUUGCUUGUAAAAACUUAUUAUGGCAAUUAAAGUAACAGUUUCAUGCUCUCCCCACCAAUGAAAUUGCCUACGCCAUGAUAACUUUCACUCAUAGCUUCUUGGGAAUGUUUUAUUGGGUCCGGAUUGGAUUAUUCAUAACAUUCAUCUAGCUUGCAUUGAGGUGGAAUAUGUGGCUUCUUGAGAGGGUCCAAUUGUGUCGUGCAUGUUGGUUACUUUCAAAAGCCGCUGAAUCAUUUUGACCUGUGAUUGAAGAUACCCGCCUUUGGUGGUGAUUCGAAUCAGACAGCACUCAAUCUAAAAAAUAAAUGACUCUGGUCUACACAUGUUCAAACAAAUUUGCCUCUCUAACAUUGAAAUAUCAUCUACACAUAUUUGAGAGAGAAUAACAAGAUAAAAAAAAGUGCAAAAUCGCUCAGAAAUUUCCAAAACCACGUAUUUCACUGAACAAAUCAAUGCAUAUGAGUAUCACAGAGAUUCCUCAAAAACCUUUAAUAAAUUUGGCUUAGGCACUUCAAUCUAGCUUCUCCUCGCUAAGAUUGAUCAUAGCCUAUGUGAGCACCGAUUUGAAUUCAAGCAUCGAUCACAACGAGGGCAACAAGCUAAUGGGUUACACCUCAUCAUGCAUCGUGCUUGACCACAACCACAAGAUAUGGGGAUUGAAUCGAGCUGAGUGUCACAUUUUGGUCCACUCGUGCUCGAUCUAGGGCUUGGAUUGACCUCCAUCUUUCAACAAAGGUACUGGAAUUGUUGUUGAGGGCAAUGACAAAUGAGUUUGAGGGCGUUGAUGGCUAAUUCGGCAAGGAAGAUAGAGAUGGACUUUGGAGAACUCAAUCUAAAGAGUGAAAAAGGCGAAAGCACGAUGAUGAUGAUGAAGAAAAUAAAGAGAAUGAGAAAAUAAAUUAAAAAAAGAAGGAAAAAAUAGUCUUUAGACAAAAAUACCCCUAGAUGCAAAAAAGAUUUGGUUGGCUUUUAAGUUGAGACCCUUAUUUGAAACUAAGUUGGUCACUUCAGGUCCUUUUUUAAGACAAUGUCCAAUUUGGGUCAUUUUUUUUAGAAAACGGUUCCACUUUAGGCCCUUAAUUGAAAUUUUCCCUAAAUAGAAUUAAUCCUUUUUUAUGGUAAAUGAUAAUAAUGCAACGACAACAAAAGUAGAAAUUCUUUGCUCUGUUUUCUGAUUCAGUCAGAGCACUCUUCACUUGUUUAAUGAGCUCCCAUCGCUUCUCAUAAUUAACUAUUGAGAUCUCCAAUGGCAAAAGAUGAAAACUGAAAGGCAACCAAUAAAGAAAACCAGAAAUAAUCCUAUUGGUUAUGCGGGGACUUUUUCAAGCCCUAGGUUCACGCUUUGUGUGGGUCUGCCAUCCAAGCGUCAUUUGCAAGGGAAAAUGAGAUCCGUGCAACUGAUUUUUUUUUUUUUUGGUUGAUCCUAUUCUAUUCCUUGUGACCAAACUUUCGCGCAUAGAGAUUUUCGCGGCAAAUUCUUGUCUAGACUCAGAUGCAUAUAAACCGAAUCAAUCACAUCUGCCCAUCACAUGUAUUGUACGUAAAUUUCACAAAAUCAAAUGGCUGUGAUUGUGCUUGGUUGGACUUGUUGUGAUCUCGGCAAAUAUUUUUCAAGAAUGCUAGUGGAACACUUCAAUUAAAAAAAAGGGGGAAAAUGUAAAAUUAGAGGUAGUUGAAAGGGAUCAAACACCGAUCUUGUGACACUGAGGGUGACAGACAAGAAAGAAGUCAUGCAUAUAUGCUCUUUACACAUAAAUUUUGUUGGUGGAACUUUUGCCCUUAAAAUAAUUUAGAACAUUAACUUAUGGAGUGGGAAACCAAAUCAACUUUUCUUCACUUUUCGUCUAUGGAGGUAACAUGAAUUAUAUUAUAUCGAUAAGUAAUUGUAGGUAAAUAAAGAUUAACUAAAACUUUUUAAAAAAGUGAUAGGUCGAACCUUAGUUAAUAUUGAAUGUGAUUUAUUUAAGUGUGCUUCUUCUUGUAGUAUAUACGAUUUCAUAGGCACUUUUAUUUUAUUUAAUAUUUUGAAAAAAAUUAAGUAAGAAAUUAAUACUUGACACGCAAUAGUUGACUUGUGUGGACUAGACACAUUAAGUAAAGCACCUCGAAAUUCACUUGAUUCUUCACCUAAAUUUCCAGUCAAAUACAUUUAUUGCUUGAUAAAAUUUCCAGCCAAGUGACAAAAUUUCCAGUGCUCAAUAAUCAAUGCAAUAGCUAAUUGUGGAAGGAGAUUAAUAAACUACUGGGGUUUGCCUUAUGAGAAGGGGAAGGUGGGGGUUCAAAUUCUCACAUUCUCAAUGAUUAGGAUAGAGACGAUUUACUUUUAGGUAUGAAUUUCGACUCUCAUGUCAUGUAAAAAAGUAGGGCAAAAAUAUAAAAGUAUGAAUUAAAGAAAGAGUAGAAGAGGACCCGCAAGAAAAAAAGAAGAAGGAGAUUAAUACUGCAGGAAAACGUUUCCAGACACGCUCUUUACAUAUUACUACAUUAAAGGUUUUGAAGAGAUUCAGAAGGGCAACAGAUUUUUCUCGAAUCUUUUUGCGAGUACUCAAUCAGUGGUAAUUUCUGAGAAGGUGAGUUAUAAUUACUGAAGUGGAAAUAUUAGAUAUUUACCAAAGUUAUAACGGCAACAUUAAGCAAAUUCCCAUUAAAUUUGGGCAAUUGUGUUGUGAUUAAGAUCUGGGAACGUCUUCGUGGAAUCCAAGAAGCUACCGUGAACUUUCCAGGAAGUUCCCGCGCAACGAUAAAUUUCUCACAGCACUAUAUAAUCUGAGAACCCAAUGCGUCCGUUCCACCCAAGUCAAUCAGUCUUUUGACUCCCUCAAGACUCAUCUUCAUCCUCUGAACCCGACUCGUUUUGCUGAUCCAAGCACACCCUUUUGUCUUCUCCCUCUCUGUUGUUCAUCCAUGUCGUCGUUAAGGCUCCGUAAACCUAACGAAGAAGCAGCAACCGAUGCGGUGCUUGACCGCGGCAAUGGCCCGACGAAUAUCUUCCACAGGCGGAGAUGGCGCCUGGCUUUCACGGUCAUAUACUUCACGAGGGCUCUCGAGUAUCUGUCGAAACAAGUCCUCGGGAAGAAGACGGACCUGUUGCGCACGCUCUCUUACGUUGCCAUCAAUGUCGACCUCAAGAACAGUGAUAAUCCACGUGAAGGAGAUUGCCCUUCGCUUGGAGACGUCGGCCCGAAGAUCCUGAGUAACCUGGUAAGAGAGAAAAGCUUUGAAUCUCUUGCUCAAAUUGGUGGCGUUAAACGACUCGCUUCAAUUCUCAUGACAAAUCUCGAAAAAGGCUUGAGCGGGGAUGAAACCGACCUCAUGCGCCGAACCAAUAUUUUCGGUGCGAAUAAGUACAAUAAGCCCCCGGCAAAGAGCUUUCUCAGCUUUGUGCUUGAUGCGUUCAAAGACAUGAUCAUAAUCAUUCUCAUAGCAUGCGCUGUUCUCUCUUUAGCAUUCGGUAUCAAACAGUACGGCCUUAAAGAAGGUUGGUACGAUGGUGGGAGUAUAAUCAUCGCCAUCUUUCUGGUCGUCAUUGUCUCUGCUGUCAGCAACUAUAAGCAAGGAAGGCAGUUCCGGAAACUUUCAAAAGAGAGCACCAACAUUAGAGUAGAGGUUGUAAGAGAUGGCAGGAGGCAACCAAUCUCCAUAUUUGAUAUUGUCGUAGGCGAUGUCGUGUAUCUGAAGAUUGGCGACCAGGUUCCGGCUGAUGGGUUAUUUGUUGAUGGCCAUUCCCUGAGAGUUGACGAGUCUAGCAUGACUGGUGAAAGCGAUCACAUCGAAGUCGAUAGCGAGAACCCUUUCUUGCUCUCGGGCACCAAAGUGAUCGAUGGCUACGGUCGAAUGAUGGUUGCUUCUGUCGGCAUGAACACUGCAUGGGGCGAGAUGAUGAGCUCCGUGAGCCGUGACUUAGAUGAAGAGACCCCGCUCCAAGCCCGUCUAAACAAGUUGACUUCCUUCAUCGGGAAGGUCGGGGUGUCGGUGGCCGUACUGGUACUUCUUGUCUUGAUGAUCCGCUACUUCACUGGACACACCCAAGAUGAUGCCGGAAACAGAGAAUUCACCAGCGGGAAGACCAAGUCGGGGGACGUGAUGGACGCCGUUGUGCGCAUAGUUGCUGCAGCAGUGACCAUUGUGGUGGUGGCUAUACCUGAGGGCUUGCCUUUGGCCGUCACUUUGACGCUGGCCUACUCCAUGAAGCGCAUGAUGGGUGACAAUGCCAUGGUCCGGAAGCUCUCCGCCUGUGAAACCAUGGGUUCUGCCACAACGAUCUGCACGGAUAAAACCGGGACCCUCACGUUAAACGAGAUGAGAGUGACAGAGUUAUGUAUGGGAAAAGAACAUGUGAGUGUAGAUGCAUCCAAAGAAAUAGCGACCAGCAUCGUUGAAGUCCUCCUACAAGGAAUCGGAUUGAACACGACAGGUACUGUCCAUAUGCGACCUUCUGAAUCUGUUCCUGAAAUUUUAGGUAGCCCAACUGAAAAGGCGAUACUUUCUUGGGGUGUAUCCAAAUUGGGUAUGACGAUGGACGAACUGAAGCAGGAAUGGGAGAUAGUCCAAGUCGAGGCAUUCAAUUCUGAGAAAAAGAGAAGUGGGGUCGCUGUGAGGAGGAGAGGAGAGCAGGUAAUUCACAUACACUGGAAGGGAGCUGCUGAGAUGAUCUUGGCAAUGUGUUCAGAUUAUUAUAGCCAAAGCGGGACGGUGAAUGUCAUGACUGAUGAAGCAAGGUCUGAUUUCGGGACAGUAAUUAAAAAUAUGGCAGACAAAAGCCUGCGCUGCAUCGCAUUCGCCUACAAAAAGUUCGAUGGCUCACUUGCUCAAUUUCAUGGGAAACUUGAGGAAGAUGGACUUACACUGCUGGGGAUAGUGGGGAUAAAGGACCCAUGCAGACCAGGCGUGAGAAGGGCAGUGGUGUCCUGUAGAAGCGCUGGGGUGAACAUCAAGAUGAUCACAGGAGACAACAUGCACACUGCAAGAGCUAUAGCCUUGGAAUGCGGGAUAUUCAAUCCGGAGGAAGAUCUCGAACAUGAAGCCAUAGUGGAGGGCGUGCAGUUUCGCAACUACUCGCCCGAACAGAGAACGGCAGCAAUCGAGAAAAUCCGGGUAAUGGCUAGAUCAUCCCCAUUUGAUAAGCUUUUGAUGGUGCAAUGCUUGAAGAAGAAAGGGCAUGUGGUGGCGGUCACUGGUGAUGGCACGAAUGACGCCCCAGCCCUAAAGGAAGCGGAUAUCGGCCUCUCCAUGGGAAUCCAAGGCACUGAGGUGGCAAAGGAGAGCUCAGAUAUCGUCAUCCUUGAUGAUAAUUUUGCCUCCGUGGUGACUGUGCUGAGGUGGGGGCGGUGCGUCUACAACAACAUCCAAAAGUUCAUCCAGUUUCAGCUCACUGUGAAUGUGGCUGCACUCGUCAUCAACCUCGUUGCUGCGGUCUCUUCUGGCAAUGUCCCUUUGACAGCUGUCCAGCUUCUUUGGGUGAACUUGAUUAUGGACACCCUGGGAGCUUUGGCAUUGGCGACAGAGCAACCUACAAAUGAUCUCAUGCUAAAGCCACCUGUUGGACGAACCGAGCCGCUUAUAAGCAGAGUCAUGUGGAGGAAUCUCGUAUCUCAGGCUUUGUACCAAGUUAUCAUCCUCCUGACCCUACAAUUCAAGGGGAGUUCCAUUUUUGGGGUGGACAAGAAAGUGAGGGACACAAUUAUUUUCAACUGCUUCGUCCUCUGCCAGGUCUUCAACGAAUUUAAUGCCAGGAAGCUGGAGGAGAAAAAUGUAUUCAAAGGGAUCCAUAAGAACAAGUUGUUCUUGGGCAUCAUUAGUAUGACCAUAAUUCUUCAGGUGGUGAUGGUCGAGUUUCUAAAGAGGUUUGCCAACACUGAGAGGCUGGACUGGGGACAAUGGGGUGCUUGCAUCGGACUCGCAGCUUUGUCUUGGCCGAUUGGUUGGCUUGUUAAGUGCAUUCCAGUCUCAGGCAAAAAGUUGUUCUUUUCCCGCUGAGAAGAAGCAUCCUGAACCGAGCACAAUGUUAAACUCCGAGAAAAGAAACUUUUCUUUUAUUAUAAAAAUGGUUAGGGUUUAGGAAACUGUUUUUUAAAUUCUAGAUUUUAUGCAUUGUGAGUACGUUUUCUAGAUUUUAUGCAUUGUAAGUAUCUUCCUAGAUGAUGUGUCAAAUUACCUUUAUCUACAUAAUCAAAUCAACAGUUUAUUGCCAUCCAUUAUUUCAACCUUUGUACUUUGGUCUUGCUUGCUAUGCUACUGUUGAUUUUGGAAUAUCUUCCAGAUGAGGUUAUUAAUCAGGUGAUCAUGCUAUAUGCUUGCUUUAACAUUCAUAUGCUACUGUUGAUUUUUGGAAUAUCUUCCAGAUGAGGUUAUUAAUCAGGUGAUCAUGCUAUAUGCUUGCUUUAACAUUCAUAUCUGAACUAGCAUUCAAAAAGUUAUCCUACAGGAAAACUAAAGAAAAAAUUUCCUAGUUCUCAGCAAGCUUCUUAAUGGGGCAGUAAAAUCCCAAAAACUUAUGCCUCAAGCUCAUGCAAGGGUGGCCCUUUCUGUUCUUUUAUCGCAUCAUAUCUCUCCUUUACUAUAUUAUCAAAAGGCACAUGGUCCCACGCGACAGAACUAAUUUUAUUUGAUGCCGAUGGCGAGGGACGAAUCCAGUCCCCCCAUAGUGAGCCCAACUUCAAAUCCUAAUGGCCUAACUUUAAUGACGGGCAAUGAUUAAACUGUAUUAAUUCCUAAUUUAAAUUAGAAUUUUAUAUUGAACAAUAUAGAAUCUAUUUAAACAUGCAAUAUGACCUAAUUAAUCUACAUGAUAUGCAAUGCAAUUUUUUGUAUUUUCUAGACAAGGAAAGCAAUUAAAACAUUCAAACCACACAAUCCAUAAAGGUAUCAUCCAAUCGAUUCAAAUAUGGAGCCAACAUCUAAUCAUUGACUUGAAAUUUCGCAAAUAAAAUCAACAAAUUAAUCAUAAGUACUAAAAAUCAAAAUAUCAAUUUUAAGGAUACUCAUGAAAUCAACAAUUCCAUCUAAAGCCUUAUAGAUAGAAUCAAAGAUUAUAUGGGGUUGCAAAUUAGGAAAAACAUCCUAAUUUGGGGAUAAACUUAUCACUCAAAAAUAUAUAUUAUUCGGAUGCAAUAAUCAAAUUGGAUAGUAAGAUAUUCAAUGGAAUCGGAUAACUAUUAUUGUCUAAUUUGGAGAAUUUGUUCCCAAAUUUGAACUGGCGGAUAGCGGGUCGGAUGGUGAGCGGUGGCGGUGGAGGUGGUUUUCGGCUUUGAUGGAAUGGCCGAUGAAAUAUCGAAGCCCGGUGUGAAUUAGUGGGCGUCGGAUAAUAGCCAGCAGGUAUGAGAGGAUUUUCAGCGUGACCUCCACUCAAAGCUUUGACUUUGACUUUGACCAAACCAUCGAAUAAUCCGAAUAAUCCGAAUAAUCCGAAUAAUCACCGCUUGCUAUUUCUUCAAUUGUGGUUGGGUGGCGCACGAGAUUAUGGUAGUCUGUGGUGGUGUCGCUCACGUGUUGGAAGCUACGGACGACCAGCGGAGGAGAAAAUCCAGCACGUUGGGGGCUGUGUUGGCGUUGGAGAACCUGAGACUGACUGGAGAAAAUGCCGAGCACGCCUAGCGUUGCUAGAACGGAUGCUUCGACCGCGGGGUGACGCGAAUCAGAAACUUGUCGUCGCGGGUCGCGAGCGGCAACGGAACAGAGCAGCUUCGUCGUCGCCGGUGCAGGCGGCGAGCAGCGGCAAAACUCGGGAUGGUGACUCGCGUUGGCCGGCGAAGGCGUCGUAGGGCAGCAGGCGUGGUGCAGCGGCCCACUUCAAGCUCCGGUAGUCGGGACAGCAAGCAAAAGCAGCAGCGGCUCGUCGCGGAGGGUGCGACGGCGGUGGUGGCGCGGCGAUGGUCUCGGUUUGACGUGGCGGCGCUCAGGCAGUCGGGACAACGGCAGAGACGUCGCGGGGCGGCCCAACAGCAAGGACGUCGCAAGGCGGAGAGCAGCGUCGGGUCGUUGUCGAGGGCGGAGGAGCUCGCCGGAAGAAAGGAUGCGGCGGCGAUGAGUUGCAGGCGUCGGGAAUGGGGGUACUUUCCUUUCUCUUUCCAUCUGUCUCUCUCUCCUAACGGCUCUUCUGUGCCUCUUUUUUCUCUCUCCCUCUCUGUCUCUCUCUAUCUCAGGCUAACUCUCUACUUCGUUCAGACGUCGUCUCCUUUGACAGCAGGAACAAAGGCAAAUGUGAACUCAUUAAUUGGCGGCACAGGCGCCCAGAAUCAGCACCGAUGCCCCCCAAAAUUUAUGUGCAUUCAUGUGAAUGCAUUAAUGAGGGAGAGCACAAAAUAGACGUACAUAUAGACUCUUCUUUCCUCUUUCUUUGACCCUCUCAUUUGUAUGUCAAAGGGAGCUCCACCCAAUUACGACAAAUAAAUCAUCAUUUCCCAAGUCCAAAGAGAUGAGUAGAAGACAACAAAAGGAACCCCGCGUGAUUAAUCCCCUCACGCUUGUGGCUCAUGAAAUCCACUUGAAAUCUUCUUCUUCUGGCAAUUUCGGCUGGUCAAUUCUAAUACGCCAAUUUUAUUUACUGUCGAGUUCACAUGUUCUCAUCAGUUUAGUUUUCUUUAAUGUGCUCAAACUCGAAAUGAUUUUUAAUAAUUUGUACACUCUUCGAUAUUGCUAAGCUAUAUUCUAUUUCCUUUUUAUGAGAAUAUGGCCUAAUAUUGCUAAGCAUCCGAAUAUCUUUAUUUCUUUUCUAUUUUAUUUUGCAGAAAUUCCCGCUCCCAAUAUCUUUUCCCUUCCAUUUUGUUGGCUGAGUUUUCCACCGAAUCUUGCCCAUUCCUAUAACCGAAUUUUGAAAAGAAUAAUACUAAUCUUUUUUUAAAUUAACAAAUUUUCCAACUUUGUACAUCUCUCAAGUUAAGUUUCAGCAUUUAAAGAAUGACCGGCUUGGCCAAAUUCUCUCUCACUAUGGGCUUAGCCCAACUUACUAAAUUAAAAAUCAAAACUAUUAAUUCAAACACAUCGGCUGGUCUAAUGCAAAUGCAAUUUUGCUAUUUUUGUUUAGGGAUUAAAGAUUAAUCUCUAAUUUUUAAUGCAAUUAAUUACUAGAUUAUUAAUCAAAUUUUAGGUGUCAACAGGUUCAUUGGUAAUACAAUACUAUCAUUAGAAUCAGAUCAUUUAACAUGACACCACACAAUGAUACAAAAAGAAUGAGAUUGUUCUCAAUGGAGAUCAAAGAUCAAAGCCAUUUGUUUUAACUUUAGAAAAAUGUGGACACUGUUAGAAAGGAGUUCUUGUAUAUUGAAGAUACAGGCUACAUUAAAAUUUUGUUACCCAACACUUGGGGUUGUGGCAUGAAAUAGCAAUGGAAGUUGAAAUUGGUGCUUAUAUUAAAGUAUAUACGAGAAGAUAGAAAUUAUGUGGGAUUAAGAUAUUUUGAUUAAUAUUUCGACACCUAAUGCGCGUUUGCUCUCCCAAAUGAUUGGUUAUUGGUUUGCUUGAUGCAUAGGUUGCAUCACAAUUAAGGGAAUGGCAACUGCAAAAUCCUAGGACCUAAAUCCCACAUAGGAAGAAAUUCAACACACGAUCAAUGAGGUCAAUACCGAUGGCAACGGAUGAUAGAAUUCUGGGAGUUCUUGAAUCUUAUGGCCAGAAAAAUCAAGGUAUUUCAUACACACAUAUGUAUAUAUAUUAGUCAAAAUAGCCAGUGUCACUUAAAUCACAUAUUUUGUAAAUGCAUGAUAUGUUCAGGAGACUGAAAUAGAAGAGGAGUUAAAGGAAGCUUUCAAGGUCAUUGACAAGGAUCAAGAUGUUUACAUACCUCCUAAUGAGGUUUGAAUUAUUUCUAAUCCCACAUUCAAUGUUCAGCUUAUACUUUGUUAAUUGUAGCUUCUUUGUAUCUAGGAGCAAUUCCUCCUAGCCAAACCCCAUAAAAAGAGGGGAAGGUGACAGAGAAAUAUUGAAUGAACGUUUAUUAAUGGAAUUCAUAAGACAGUUGUAAAAUCUCCAUUUUUAGCUAGGAAGCCCAUUUUUGUGAAAUAUCUCAUUAAUUACGUAAAGUCUGAUGGACAUAACCAACUAGUCAGAUGUUUUUAUCCAUUGUAGUAUCCGCAGAUGUAGGAAAAUGGCUUGUUUUGUUAUAUAACAUCAUUUAACAGCAUAUAAUUCUACGUAACCACUCGCUGAAUUCUCUAUGUAAUAAUCCCAAGAAGGAGCAAUUUCUUUUCUCUCGGUGCUUUCCUUCUCUUCUCUAGUCACUCAACUUUUCUUGAACGACCUUUCUAAGGUUAGUUUAUUCCGCUUGACGUCUCUAUCUUAUGUAAGAUCUUUCAACAACAAUCCGCUUAGUCUUGGUUUUCUAUCUAAAAGUUGCAAAUCUUUUACUUAUCUUCCAUCUUUGGGAUUAGACUGAUAUGAGAAGCCAACAUUAACCGUAUACACUGAAAUUAACAUGAAGAAGGGAGAGAAAGGAUCAAAGUCCCUAGUAAUGGCUUCUGGUGAUAUUCGAAAUACUUGAAUAUCUGCCUCGCUUCUUUCGAACUUCACGGGCCUUUGAAGAAAUUCCAUUGACCUGUGUAGAAGCUUCCUGAGGAAUUUUUUUGUUUUAUUUAUCGAUGCAAUUCUAGCAACAUGUAAGGAACUUUGGAUCAAGUGCCUUAAAAACAUUUACGACAUGGAUGUAUUGAAUUUUAACUUAGUUGGUAAGAUUACUUAUGUCGCAAUUUCAGACUCUUCUCAAUUUGUUGCGUUGGCAAAUCUUAUGCACGCAAUAUUUCUUUUCUUGAAUUCGGAGUGCAAGAUAGAGUCUACUUUACUUGAAUUUACAAUCAGUAAUAUUUUUUCAUUCCCAUAAAGUGAAUUUAAUCAUUUUGUACUUUGAAUGCAUAAUUUAUUAGAUGCGAUAUUUAAAAUAUAUUAUGGAGAGAUUUUCCCACUUGACUGUCACUUUUUUCUAGACAAAGCUCUUCGACUGAGAAAAAAGAAUCAUUUUAUGAAAUAUGAAUACAUAUACGGGGAAAAAGACAAUUUACUAUAAUAUAUAAUAUUUUUUUUUAUCUAUAAGAGAUGAUUACAAUAAAAGUCCGUGACGCUUAUAGUUUUUGCUCAAUUGCACUCCAUGUGUAGAAUUAGAAAAUGUGCACACGUGUUGUGUGCGCAAGAUAUUGAUAUUUGAAAGAGUAAGUUUGUUAAAUAAUAUUUGAAUCAUUAAACAUUGGGAUAAUAAUAUUGAUAUAAAAUAUACAAUAAAAGAAACUGUAUCUAUGAAAAGAGAAUUAUUUUGUGAUUUGAAAACUUGUUAAGAAGGUUGUUGUAGGAUAAUGGGUGUGUUUAGAAACACUUUUAGGAAAGCUUCUAGGAAAAUGCAAAUGACUUUAGGUGAAAUGAUUUUUCCAAAAUGCAAAUAGUGUUUGGUAAAAUAUAAUUUAAAAACACAUGCAAAAACAAUUUUGACAUAAAUAAUAUUUGGAUAAUAUUACUCUUUUUUUUAAUAAAAGUUUCAAACAUUGUCAACGGAACUCAAGCCAUUGGUGAGCCAAAUCGACUAUUGGUGGCUAGAUCUAGCCAUUGGCCAACCUCGCUUGAGUCAUGCGACCUAGGCCUUGCAUAAGGUUGGGCAACGACGGCUCGUUAGCCGCUUGCUAGCUGCUAAGGCCUUCGCCGACAACAUUAAGAUUUUGGAGGACAUUCCAUAAUUAUGAAAGUAUAGCAGGGGUAAUGUAGGAAGGGGAAAAAGCUUAUUUUGUAUUUAGAAAAUACUCAAAGCUCAAACUACUUCUGGACCUACCUUGAGCUAAAGCCUAAAGGCCUUUUGAGGCCUUUCGAAAUGCAAAUACAUCUUCUCAAAAUUAUUUUUGAAAAAAAAUUGUCAAACAAAAUUUUCAUUUGCCCAAGAGACUUUGGAGCCCAAAAUCUCUUGAGAAUGCAGUUUUCAAAUGCAGCCAAUUAUGUCCAACUUCUAAUAUUGGAAAAUGAUGAAUUUACACAAUUCUUCCAUGGGCACAAUUUUUGUAAAAUAAGUAACCAAGUAUGUUUGGAGGAAGAAAAAACAAUUGAGAUACCUUGAAAUUAGAAGGAUCUUUCUACUUUAUGUUAUAAUAACGUAAAUGAAUAACUCGAAGUAGUUUUAGGUGGUCGUGAACUAGUGAAGAAGCAAAUUUAGUGCACGUCUUUAAUUUUAGCAAGACAUAACGCUUUUUGUCUUCUCUAUGAAGUGAAAUUCUCUCCACCAUAAAGUGAUUGAUCCCAUUCUGAGACACAAGCCCAAUGAGCCACAUUAGGCUUUUUCCAUAUGGUUCAAAAUAUUUUUAUAACUUUGAUCCGAGACGAGUUUCGUAUUCAUUGAAGUAGACUACUUCUUGUGAAUUGAUUAUGUGGACUAGAUUUACAAUGAAAUACGUCAACACGAUAAUUAGUGACGGUGAUUCUCAAAUGAUUUGAAGGUCGAGAUGCUACUUGGACGAUAAAUUUGAUUCCUCUGAGAUGCUAUGUCGACUUAAUAUUCGAUAGUCAAUUUCGAAAAGAACAACUAAUUGCAAAUAUAUUUGUUGAUCCUUUACAUCUCUUUCUUCACCUAAAAGAUUAAUGCUGGGUGAUAAGGCGUUUGAUUUUGACGUGAACCUCGACAAAAUAUCUUCCAAUCGAUAUUUUCUCACAACACUCUUUUGGUCCCCCCCGAGAGAUCAAGGUUCCUCUUCACCUUAUUUUUCUUGGCCAUCUUGAUAAAUCUCAACCCACAUAAAUUUGUAUUUAUUUCUAAGGCACCUUCAUCAUCCUUUCAAAUUGAUGCGGAUUCCAACUUCCAAAUCUGGCAUUAUUUUUCUCGUGAAUAUUCUUGUUCUCUUGUCAAAGUGUUUGGGAAAUAACAUAACUUGUUAGAAUGUCCAAUGCAAAUGCUUGAGAUUAAUAAUUAAGGUUGACCAUAUGCGUAUAAAGUGCAUAUAAAACCACAAGAGCAAUAUGAAAUAUUUGAACACUUUAUCUCAUGUACAAAAAGAAUUAAAUUUAACAAUUGCAUAUGCCAAUAAAUUGAAACAAAACCAGAAUUUGAUACCAUAUUAUGUUGUUCAUUCUAAAAACUUAAAUUCAUAAGUGGGGUGAAUUCAGAAAUUUAUGGACAAAUGAUUAAAAGAAAAUGAGAAACCUCCUUAGAAUGGAGGAUGAGAUAUCAUAAAUAAAUAUCACUGCAUUUAGUCAUGUCUAGUCAUAAGUCAAGUCAAGUCAAGUCAAGGUCAAUAGAAAAAAGGUAUGACGUGCCUUUUGAGUAUUUGACUAAAUGAAACUAUUCCAUACGUUAUGUCCUCUUUGGUGCACUUUCUCCGUCAAAGCAAAUGUCUCCAUGUUCAUCUGAAAAGACUGAACCAAGACUGAGGCAUGGCGUGCACGACGGUGUACGUCCCUCAUCGGGAAAAGAAAUAAUCACAAUAGAACGGGUUGUCAUCCCAAAAUUUAUUAGAGUGAUCGGUUGAUUCGAUUCGACUCUACUUAGGAACCGAGAGUCGAGAGUCGGAUUAGGAGAACCGCCUCUCAAUUUUAAGGAUUGGGAAUUAGAUCGAAUCGACUUAAGAUCGGGAACUAGUCCGGUCUAGUCUCAUGAAAUCGAUUACUUAACAACAAAAGUUGAAAAAUUAAGAAAAAUACAAUAAUUAUUAUUAUUUUUUAGCUUUAUUGAUAUUUUUAAGAAAUUAAAAAAAUACAUUUCCUUUUAAAAAAGGAUUAGUCUAGUCUAAUCCUAUCUAGUUCCGAUUUGAUCCAUUUUGAUUCCUUCUGGAACCGGAAAUUGAACUGACAAUCAUUGAUUUCAUUUUUAUAGAAUCAGAAACCAGACCAAACUGACAAAUUCAAUCUGGUCCAAGCGAUUCUCAAUUUGGGUGGUUUGCCGUGUUCACCCCUAAAGUUUAUAGUUGCGAUCGACUGGUUCUUCGAUUGACGAAUUGUUAAAGACUUGCGAUUCAAUUUUUGGACUUUUGCUGCUAGAAAAGAUCAAAUAAAAUAGGCCCACAAUAAACGAAAAUUUAGUGACAUGUACUCGCUCGGAAAUAAUAAAUGGACCCCAUGGUCGUACUUUCAAAGGUCUUCAGGUGAGGUGAGAGAACGGGGCCUGCCAUUCGGUUUUUAAUUUGUGACUCGAAAGGACCUCAUCGUUUUCUGUGUAAAUGGGCCCUACUUUCCUAGCAACUCCUAGAUCCAAUUUCAAUUCUAUUUUGAAUUUUUUAUUUUUUUAUCUUGAAAAAAAUCCUAAAUUUUAGAUUUAGUUUUAAAUCAUUAUCGAUUUUUUGAUCUCGGAAAAAACUUCAACUUAAGGUCAAAUUUUGUUUUGUUCAAAAAAUCAUAAAUUUUCAAUUUAUUAACCAACUUGAUAUGAUAUUUUCACGUCGAUAAGAAAUCUUUAUCAACAAGAUGACAUGAAAAAUUAUCUUCAAAAUAAAAUCAUUUAUAGGAUAUGAAAAUUAGAGAUAACUAAUGAGGAUUUUUGGACGGAGGAGGACUAACGGGGCUAGAUUUGUGACCAGAGUAAAAAGUGACCGAUUUUUCUUUUAGACAAAAAAAUUUCGAGGGUAGAUUUAGGGUUGAAUUUAAAGUUAGGUGUUUUUUUUAGACAACGAAAAAUUUGGGCACAUCUGGAAUGGAUUAAAGUUUGAGGUUUUUCUUAUAGAUAACAAAAUUCAAGGCAAAAUUAAAAUUACACCUAAAGUUGGGUUUUUUUUUAGGGAAUUAAGCCAUGAAAAUGGUAUGUGAUAGUUCACAACUUCGCUCGAUCCAAUUGAAGAUUGUUUUGAUAAUUGCCAGCCAUAAACACCUCUAGUAAAAAAAUUUAAUCUACUUAUCUUGUUCUAUUGUGCUAAACUUUUUACUAACUCGUUUCCUUCUUUUGAGAUCAACUUGAAGUUUUAGAUCCGUUGUGCUACAAAAGAAAGUAUGAUAUAGAUGUGUAAAUUGAUGGAGUAAAUUUACCAAACUUACUUUUAAGACGGAGGGUUCUUAGGUGAUGGUAUCAAUGUAACCUGGGGCCAAUGUAGGAAAAUGUAAUUGUGAGGGAAUUAGAAUUUUUGUGGCCAUGAUGCAAACUAUUCAAAUUCAUUUAACUGCACAAUCACAUAUGAAACAUUAAGUCGGUGUCACUAAUACAACUUGCCUUUCGCAAUCAGAAAUCGCUUGCUAAAGGGUUUAUGCCGACCUUCUUUGCGUGUUCGUCAUCCCAACCUAAUCUUUUAUGCUUUCGAAUCAAAUUCAUUGGAGAGUUUCCUUUGAAUCUAAGGUUGUCCAUGCACAAAGGUUUCCUUAUUCCAAGCAGCUUGAAGCACAAUGUUGUUCAACAAUGGUCAAGGAAAGAAGCUACGUGGGACCGCAUGGAUCAAAGCAAAAGCAAAGUAAUGGUGAGGAAACAGCACAAGUUACCAAAAGGUGAAAGGAAUUCCAUAAAAUUGUGAAAGUAGUGGAAGUAGAAGUAGAAUUGAUUUUUUUUUUAUGGUAAAUGAUAAUAAUGCAAUGACAACAAAAAUAGAAAUUAUUUGCCUGACGAUAAAUGUUUGUUUUCUGAUUCAGUCAAAACACUCUUCACUUGUUUAAUAAGCUCCCAACGCUUCUCAUAAUUAGCUAUUGAGAUCUCCAAUGGAAAAAGAUGAAAACUGAAAAGCAACCAACAAAGAAAACCAUAAAUAAUUCUGUUAGUUACACGGGAACUUUUUCAUGCCCUACAUUCACGCUUUGUGGGGGGUUUGCCAUCCAAGCGUCAUUUGCAAGGGAAAAUGAGAUCCUUGUGACUGAACUUUUACGCGUAGAGAUUUUCGUGGCAAAUUCUUGCCUAGACUCAGAUGCGUAUAAACCGAAUCAAUCACAUCUGCCCAUCACGUGUAUUGAACGUGAAUUUCACGAAAUCAAAAGGGAAACUUGCCGUGAUCUCGGCGAGUAUUUUUCAAGAAUGCCAAUGGACCACUUCAAUAACAAAAGGGAAACAAAAUGUAAAAUUAGAGGUAGUUGAAAGGUAUCAAUUACUGAUCUUGUGACACUGAGGGUGACAGGGGAGAGAAGUCAUGCAUAUUUGCUCUUAACUAAUGUAAAUUUUGUUGGUGGAUCUUUUGCCAUUAAAAUAAUUUAGAACAUUAACUUAGGGGUGGGAAACCAAAUCAACUUUUCUUCACUCUUCGUCUAUGGAGGUAACAUGAAUUAUAUUAUAUCGAUAAGUAAUUGUAGGUAGAUAAAGAUUAACUAAAACUUUUUGAAAAAGUGAUAGGUCGAACCUUAGCGAAAAUUGAAUGUGAUUUAUUUAAGUGUCUGCUUCUUCUUAUAGUAUAUACCGAUUUCAUAUGCACUCUUCUUGUAUUUAAUAUUCUGAAAUAACAUUAAAUAAGAAAUUAAUACUUGACACGUAAUAGUUGACUUGUGUGGACUAGACACACAUUAAGUAAAGCACCUAGAAAAUCACUUGAUUCUUCACCUAAAUUUCCAGUCAAAUACAUUUAUUGCUUGAUAAAAUUUCUAGUGCUCAAUAGACACCUUAAGUAAAGCACCUCGAAAUUCACUUGAUUCUUCACCUAAAUUUCCAGUCAAAUACAUUUAUUGCUUGAUAAAAUUUCCCGUGCUCAAUAAUCAAUGCAAUAGCUAAUCGUGGAAGGAGAUUAAUAAACUACUAAUGUUUUUCUAUGAGAAGGGAGAGUGGGAGGUUUAAAUUCCAAUAUUCUCAGGAUUGGAAUAAGGACGAUUUAAUUUUGGGUGCAAGUUUCGAAGAAAUUCAAAAGGGCAACAGAUUUUUUUGAAUCCCGUGGUAAUUUCUGAGAAGGUGAGUCAUAAUUACUGUUAGAUAAUUUUCCAAAAUUAUAACGGCACCGUUAAGUAAAAUUCCCAUUAAAAUUUAAGCAGUUGUGAUUCCAGAUCUGGAAACGUCUUCGUGGAAAUGUCAUCCAAGAAGCUACAGCGAACUUUCCAAGAACUUUCCAAAAAAAAAAACUUCCAAGAACUUCACGCGCAAUGAAAAAUCACUGCACUAUAUAAUCUCAGAACCCAAUACAUCGGUCCCACCCAAGUCAAUCAGUGUUUUGAUCCCCUCUGACUCAUCUCCAUCGUCUGAACACGACUCGUUUUGCUGAUCCAAGCACACCCUUUUGUCUUCUCCCUCUCUGUUGUUCAUCCAUGUCGUCGUUGAGGCUGCGUAAACCUAGCGAAGAAGCAGCAACCGAUGCGGUGCUCGAUCGCGGCGAUGGCCCGACGAAUAUCAUCCACGGGCGAAGAUGGCGCCUGGCUUUCACGGUCAUAUACUUCACGAGGGCUCUCGAGUCUCUGUCGAAACAAGUCCUCGGGAAGAAGACGGACCUGUUGCGGACGCUCUCUUACGUUGCCAUCAAUGUCGACCUCGAGAGCAGUGAUAAUCCACGUGAAGGAGAUUGCCCUUCGCUUCGAGACGUCGGCCCGAAGAUCCUGAGUAACCUGGUAAGAGAGAAAAGCUUUGAUACUCUUGCUCAACUUGGUGGCGUUAAACAACUCGCUUCAAUUCUCAUGACAAACCUCGAAAAUGGCUUGAGUGGGGAUGAAACCGACCUCAUGCGUCGAACCAAUAUUUUCGGUGCCAAUAAGUACAAUAAGCCCCUGGCAAAGAGCUUUCUCAGCUUUGUGCUUGAUGCGUUCAAAGACAUGAUCAUAAUCAUUCUCAUAGCAUGCGCUGUUCUCUCAUUAGCAUUCGGUAUCAAACAGCACGGCCUUAAAGAAGGUUGGUAUGAUGGCGGGAGUAUAAUCAUCGCCAUCUUUCUGGUCGUCAUUGUCUCUGCUGUCAGCAACUAUAAGCAAGGAAGGCAGUUCCAGAAACUUUCAAAAGAGAGCAGCAACAUUAGAGUAGAGGUUGUAAGAGAUGGCAGGAGGCAACCAAUUUCCAUAUUUGAUAUUGUCGUAGGUGAUGUCGUGUAUCUGAAGAUUGGCGACCAGGUUCCGGCUGACGGGUUAUUUGUUGAUGGCCACUCCCUGAGAGUUGACGAGUCUAGCAUGACUGGUGAAAGUGAUCACAUCGAAGUCGAUAGCGAGAACCCUUUCUUGCUCUCGGGCACCAAAGUGAUCGACGGCUACGGUCGAAUGAUGGUGGCUUCUGUCGGCAUGAACACUGCAUGGGGCGAGAUGAUGAGCUCCGUGAGCCGUGACUUAGAUGAAGAGACCCCGCUCCAAGCCCGUCUAAACAAGUUGACUUCCUUCAUCGGGAAGGUCGGGUUGUCGGUGGCCGUACUGGUACUUCUCGUCUUGAUGAUCCGCUACUUCACUGGACACACCCAAGAUGAUGCCGGAAACAGAGAAUUCACCAGCGGGAAGACCAAGUCGGGGGACGUGAUGGACGCCAUUGUGCGCAUAGUUGCUGCAGCAGUGACCAUUGUGGUGGUGGCUAUACCUGAGGGAUUGCCUUUGGCCGUCACUUUGACACUGGCCUACUCCAUGAAGCGCAUGAUGGGUGACAAUGCCAUGGUCCGGAAGCUCUCCGCCUGUGAAACCAUGGGUUCUGCCACAACGAUCUGCACGGAUAAAACCGGCACUCUCACGUUAAACGAGAUGAGAGUGACAGAGUUAUGUAUGGGAAAAGAACAUGUGAGUGUAGAUGCAUCCAAAGAAAUAGCGACCAGCAUCGUUGAAGUCCUCCUACAAGGAAUCGGAUUGAACACGACAGGUACUGUCCACAUGCGACCUUCUGAAUCUGUUCCUGAAAUUUUAGGCAGCCCAACUGAAAAGGCGAUACUUUCUUGGAGUGUAUCCAAAUUGGGUAUGAUGAUGGACGAACUGAAGCAAGAAUGGGAGAUAGUCCAAGUCGAGGCAUUCAAUUCUGAGAAAAAGAGAAGUGGGGUCGCUGUGAGGAGGAGAGGAGAGCAGGUAAUCCACAUACACUGGAAGGGAGCUGCCGAGAUGAUCUUGGCAAUGUGUUCAGAUUAUUAUAGCCAAAGCGGGACGGUGAAUGUCAUGACUGAUGAAGCAAGGUCUGAUUUCGGGACAGUAAUUAAAAAUAUGGCAGACAAAAGCCUGCGCUGCAUCGCAUUCGCCUACAAAAAGUUCGAUGGCUCACUUGCUCAAUUUCAUGGGAAACUUGAGGAAGAUGGGAUUACACUGCUGGGGAUAGUGGGGAUAAAGGACCCGUGCAGACCAGGCGUGAGAAGGGCAGUGGUGUCUUGCAGAAGCGCUGGGGUGAACAUCAAGAUGAUCACAGGAGACAACAUGCACACUGCAAGAGCUAUAGCCUUGGAAUGCGGGAUAUUCAAUCCGAAGGAAGAUCUCGAACAUGAAGCCGUAGUGGAGGGCGUGCAGUUUCGCAACUACUCGCCGGAACAGAGAGCGGCAGCAAUCGAGAAAAUCCGGGUAAUGGCUAGAUCAUCCCCAUUUGAUAAGCUUUUGAUGGUGCAGUGCUUGAAGCAGAAAGGGCAUGUGGUGGCAGUCACUGGUGAUGGCACGAAUGACGCGCCAGCCUUAAAGGAAGCGGAUAUUGGCCUCUCCAUGGGAAUCCAAGGCACUGAGGUGGCAAAGGAGAGCUCAGAUAUCGUCAUCCUGGAUGAUAAUUUUGCCUCCGUGGUGACUGUGCUGAGGUGGGGGCGGUGCGUCUACAACAACAUCCAAAAGUUCAUCCAGUUUCAGCUCACCGUGAAUGUGGCUGCACUCGUCAUCAACCUCGUUGCUGCGGUCUCUUCUGGCGAUGUCCCUUUGACAGCGGUCCAGCUUCUUUGGGUGAACUUGAUUAUGGACACCCUGGGAGCUUUGGCAUUGGCGACAGAGCAACCUACAAAUGAUCUCAUGCUAAAGCCACCUGUUGGACGAACCGAGCCGCUUAUAAGCAGAGUCAUGUGGAGGAAUCUCGUAUCUCAGGCCUUGUACCAAGUUAUCAUCCUCCUGACCCUACAAUUCAAGGGGAGUUCCAUUUUUGGGGUGGACAAGAAAGUGAGGGACACAAUUAUUUUCAACUGCUUCGUCCUCUGCCAGGUCUUCAACGAAUUUAAUGCCAGGAAGCUGGAGGAGAAAAAUGUAUUCAAAGGGAUCCAUAAGAACAAGUUGUUCUUGGGCAUCAUUAGUAUGACCAUAAUUCUUCAGGUGGUGAUGGUCGAGUUUCUAAAGAGGUUUGCCAACACUGAGAGGCUGGACUGGGGACAAUGGGGUGCUUGCAUCGAACUCGCAGCUUUGUCUUGGCCGAUUGGUUGGCUUGUUAAGUGCAUUCCAGUCUCAGGCAAAAAGUUGUUCUUUUCCCGCUGAGAAGAAGCAUCCUGAACCGAGCACAAUGUUAAACUCCGAGUAAAGAAAUUUUUUUUUUUUUUAUUAUAAAAAUGGUUAGGGUUUAGGAAACUGUUUUUUAAAUUCUAGAUUUUAUGCAUUGUGAGUACGUUUUCUAGAUUUUAUGCAUUGUAAGUAUCUUCCUAGAUGAUGUGUCAAAUUACCUUUAUCUACAUAAUCAAAUCAACAAUUUAUUGCCAUCCAUUAUUUCAACCUUAGUACUUUGGUCUUGCUUGCUAUGCUUCUGUUGAUUUUGGAAAAUCUUGCAGAUGAGGUUAUUAAUCUGGUGAUCGUGCUAUAUGGCCUGCUUUACCAUUAAUAUCCGAACUAGCAUUCAAAAAGUUAUCCUACAGGAAAACUAAAGAAAAAAUUUCCUAGUUCUCAGCAAGCUUCAUAAUGGGGCAGUAAAACCCCAAAAACUUAUGCCUCAAGCUCAUGCAAGGGUGGCCCUUUCUGUUCUUUCAUCGCAUCAUAUCUCUCCUUUACUAUAUUAACAAAAGGCACAUGGUCCCACGCGACAGAACUAAUUUUAUUUGAUGUAGAUGGCGAGGGACGAACCGAGUCACCUAUAGUGAGCACAACUUCAAAUCCUAAUGUGCGAACUAUAUGGCACACUAUUUUAACUAAAUGGCCUAACUUUAAUGACGGGCAAUGAUUAAUAUGUAAAUACUCUACAUGACAUACGCAUUAUAUAUAUAUAUAUAUAUAUAUAUAUAUAUAUAUAUAUAUAUAUAUAUAAUCAAAAUUCGUAAUUAAAAAUGAGGGAAAUUAACUAUCUAGAACAAGGAUAAUAUCUAAUUCAAUUUAGGUAUUAAAAUGUGUUAAUUCCUAAUUUAAAUUAGAAUUUUAUAUUGAAUAUUUUAGAAUCUAUUUAAACAUGCAAGAUGACCUAAUUAAUCUGCAUGAUAUGCAAUGCAAUCUUUUUUAUAUUUUCUGGACAAGGAAAGCAAUUCAAUUAAAAUAUUCAAAUUGCUCAAUCCAUAAAGGUAUCAUCCCAUCUAUUCAAAUAUGGAACCAACAUCUAAUCAUUGACUUGAAAUUUCACGAAUAAAAUCAACAAAUUAAUCCUAAUCCCUAAAAAUCAAAAUAUCAAUUUUAAGGAUACUCAUGGAAUCAACAAUUCCAUCUAAAACCUUAUAGAUAGAAUCAAAGAUUAUAUACGAUUGCGAAUUAGGAAAAACAUCUCAAUUUGGGGAUAAGCUUAUCACUAAAAAAUAUAUAUUAUUCGGAUGCAAUAAUCAGAAUGAACAGUAAGAUAUUCAAUGGAAUCGGAUAACUAUUAUUGUAUAAUUUGUCGAAUUUGUUCCCAAAUUCGAACCGCGGAUAGCGGGUCGGAUGGUGCGCUGUGGCGGUGGAGGUGGUUUUCGGCUUUGAUGGAAUGGCCGAUGAAAUAUCGAAGCCCGGUGUGAAUUAGUGGGCGUCGGAUAAUAGCCAGCAAGUAUGAGAAGAUUUUCAGCGUGACCUCCACUCAAAGCUUUGACUUUGACUUUGACCAAACCAUCGAAUAAUCCGAAUAAUCACCGCUUGCUAUUUCUUCAAUCGUGGUUGGGUGGUGCAUGACGUGUUGGAAGCUACGGACGACCAGCAGAGGAGAAAAUCCAGCACGUUGGGGGCUGUGUUGGCGUUGGAGAACCUGAGACCGACUGGAGAAAAUGCCUAGUACGCCUGGCGUUGCUAGAGCGGAUGGCGCGGAAAGGGAUGCUUCGACCGUGCGGUGACGCGAAUCAGCAGCUUGUCGUCGCGGGUCGCGAAGCGGCAACGGAACAGAGCAGCUUCGUCGUCCCCGGUGCAGGUGGCGAGCAGCGGCAAAACUCGGGAUGGUGACUCACGUUGGCCGGCGAAGGCGUCGUAGGGCAGCAGCCGUGGUGCAGCAGCCCAGUUCAAGCUCCGGUAGUCGGGACAGCAAGCAAAGCAGCAGUGGCUCAUCGCGGAGGGUGCGACGGCGGCGGUGGCGCGGCGAUGGUCUCGGUUUGACGUGGCGGCGCUCAGGCAGUCGGGACAACGGCAGAGACGUCGCGGGGCGGCCCAACAGCAAGGACGUCGCAAGGCGGAGAGCAGCGUCGGGUCGUUGUCGAGGGCGGAGGAGCUCGCCGGAAGAAAGGAUGCGGCGGCGAUGAGUUGCAACUUGCAGGCGUCUGGAAUGGGGGUACUUUCCUCCUUUCUCUUUCCAUCUGUCUCUCUCUCCUCACUGCGCUUUUGUGCCUCUUUUUUCUCUCUCCCUCUCUCUCAGGCUAACUCUCUUCUUCGUUCAGACGUGGUCUCCUUUUACAGCAGGAACAAAAGCAAAAAGCAAAAAGCAAAUGUGAACUCAUUAAUUGGCAGCACAGGCGCCCACAAUCAGCACCGAUGCCCCUCAAACUUAUGUGCAUUCAUGUGAAUGCAUUAACGCGGGAGAGAACAAAAUAGACUCUUCUUUUCUCUUUCUUUGACUUUCUCUCAUUUGUAUGUUAAAGUGAGCUUCACCCAAUUAUGACAAAUAUAUAAUCAUUUCCCGGGUCCGAAGAGAUGAGUAGAAGACAACAAAAGGAACCCCGCGUGAUUAAUCCCUUCACGCUUGUGGCUCAUGAAAUCCACUUGAAAUCUUCUUCUUCUUCCGGCAAUUUCGGCUGGUCAAUUCUAAUACGCCAAUUUUAUUUACUGUUGAGUUCGCAUGUUCUCAUCAGUUUAGUUUUCUUUAAUGUGCUCAAACUCGAAAUAGUUUUUAAUAAUUUCUACACUCUUCGAUAUUGCUAAGCUAUCUUCUAUUUCCUUUUUAUGAGAAUAUGGCCGAAUAUUGCUAUGGAUCCGAAUAUCUCUAUUUUUUUUCUAUUUUAUUUUGCAGAAAUUCCCGCUCCCAAUAUCUUUUCCCUUCCAUUUUGUUGGCCGAGUUUUCCACCGAAUCUUGCCCAUUCCUAUAACCGAAUUUCGGAAGAAUAAUACUAAUCUUUUUUUUAAAUUAACAAAUUUUCCAACUUUUUACAUCUCACAAGUUAAGUUUCAGCAUUUAAACAAUGACAGGCUUGGCCAAAUUCUCUCUCACUAUGGACUUAGCCCAACUUACUAAAUUAAAAAUCAAAACUAUUAAUUCAAACACAUCCGCCGGUCUAAUGCAAAUGCAAUUUUGCUAUUUUUGUUUAGGGAUUAAAGAUUAAUCUCUAAUCUUUAAUGCAAUUAAUUACUAUAUUAUUAAUCAAAUUUUAGGUGUCAACAGGCUCAUUGGUAAUACAAUACUAUCGGUAGAAUCAAAUCGUUGACUAUUUAACAUGACACCACACAAUGAUACAAAAAGAAUGAGAUUGUUCUCAAUGGUGAUCAAAGAUCAAAGUCAUUUGUUUUAAUUUUAGAAAAUUGUGUACACUGUUAGAAAGGAGUUCUUGUAUAUUGAAGAUACAGGCUACAUUAAAAUUUUGUUACCCAACACUGGGGGUUGUGGCAUGAAAUAGCAAUGGAAGUUGAAACUGGUGCUUAUAUUAAAGUAUAUACGAGAAGAUAGAAAUUAUGUGGGAUUAAGAUAUUCUAAUUAAUAUUUCAACACCUAAUGCGUGUUCGCUCUCCCAAAUGAUUGGUUAUUGGUUUGCUUGAUGCAUCGGUUGCAUCACAAUUAAGGGAAUGGCAACUGCAAAAUCCUAGGACCUAAAUCCCACAUAGGAAGAAAUUCAAUGCGCGAUCAAUGAGGUCAAUACCGAUGGCAAUGGAUGAUAGAAUUCCAGGAGUUCUUGAAUCUUAUGGCCAGAAAAAUCAAGGUAUUUCAUACACACAUAUGUAUAUAUAUCAGUCAAAAUAGCUAGCGUCACUUAAAUCACAUAUUUGUAAAUACAUGAUCUAUGUUCAGGAGACUAAAAUAGAAGAGGAGUUAAAGGAAGCUUUCAAGGUCAUUGACAAGGAUCAAGAUGUUUACAUACCUCCUAAGGAGGUUUGAACUAUUUCUAAUCCCACAUUCAAUGUUCAACUUAUACUUCAUUAAUUGUAAAUUCUUUGUAUCUUGGAGCAAUUCCUCCUAACCAAACCCCAUAAAAAGAGGGGAAGGUGACAGAGAAAUAUUAAAUGAACUUUUAUGAAUGGAAUUUAUAAGACAGUUAUAAAAUCUCCAUUUUUAGCUAGGAAGCCAUUUUAGGCAAGUAAUAUCUGUGAAAUAUCUCAUUAACCACGUAAAGUCUGAUAGACAUAACCAACUAGUCAAAUGUUUUUAUUUAUUGUAUGAUGUAGGAAAGUGGCCUGUUUUGUGAUAUAAUAUCAUUUAACAGCAUAUAAUUCUACAUAACCACUCGUUGAAUUCUCUAUGUAAUAAUCCCAAGAAGGAGCCAUUUCUUUUCUCUCGGUGCUUUUCUUCUCUUCUCUAGUCACUCAAGUUUUCUUGAAGGACCUUUCUGGGGUUAGUUUAUUCUGCUUGACGUCUCUGUCUUAUGUAGGAUCUUUCAACAACAAUCCACUUAGUCUUGGCUUUCUGUUUAAAAGUUACAAAUCUUUUACUUAUCUUCCAUCUUUGGGAUUAGACUAAUGUGAGAAGCAAACAUUAACCUUAUACACCGAAAUCAACAUAAAGAAGGGAGAGAAAGGAUCAAAGUCCCUCGCAAUGGCUUCUGGUGAUAUUUGAAAUACUUGAAUAUCUGCCUUGCUUCUUUUGAACUUCACGAGCCUUUGAAGAAAUUCCACUGACCUGUGCAGAAGCUUCCUGAGGAAUUUUUUUUUAUACAUUGAUGAAAUUCCAGCGACAUGUAAGGAACUUUGGAUCAAGGGCUUUAAAAACAUAUACGACAUGGAUGUAUUGAAUUUUAACUUAGUUGGUAAGACUACUUAUGUCAUGGGAGAAGUGCCAAAGAAGUCAUAAAUCUUUUGGCUUUCUGCUGAUUUAAUCGUAAACCUUUUGUCGGUGCUGAUUUAGUCCUAAACAUUUUUAUAUUGUGCCAAUUCAGUCUUUUCUGGCCAAUUUUGGCCGGAUUUUGCAGACUGGACACCGGACGACUAAUGUGGCCUAAUCGGUGCUGACAUGGACAACUUUUAAUAAUAUUUUAAUAUUUUGAUAUUUUUUGAUAUUUUUAUUUUUUCUUUUUUUGUUUUUAUUUUUAUUUUUUUCUUUUUCUUCCUCUAGCCGGUCGCUGAAGCUCGGCGACUGGCCAGAGUUGACGGCCGGCCAGGUCGACCUCGACCUCGUCGGCCACCUCGCCUGCUCGAUGCGAGUCCGCCCUCGAGGCUUGGGCAGCGAGGGCGAGGGUGAGGAGGCGGCCUUGCUGCAAUCACAUCGUCCCCUACUCGCGCGCUUGUCCGCGCGUCUUCGCCUCUCACGCUCGUCACCUGCACCCUGCUCGCCGUCCGUCAGAGCUAAUCUAGCCGCCUGCUGUUGCCGUCGAGCUGGCCUCACGCCGAGCUAGCGGGGCUCGCCCUCGCCGGCCAUUGGCAAGGCUCAACCCUUGCUAGAUCCGGCCAGGGCGAGCCUUGCCGCCCAGCGCGAAGCUGCCCUCGCAGCCACUGGCAAGGUGGUUGGCGAGGUGGACCUCAACCUCGCCGGCCGUCGCCUCUGGCCGGUCUCUGAGCUCCGGCGACCAACUGGAGGAAGAAAAAAAGAAAAAGAAAACAGAAAAAUAAAAAAUAAAAAUAAAAAUAAAAAAAUCGAAAAUAUUAAAAUAUUAAAAUUUAUUAAAAAUUAUUUAAAAAUUAUCCACGUCAGCGCUAAUCGGACCACAUUAGUCAACUGGUGGCCAGUCAGCAAAAUCCGGCCAAAAUUGGCCGGAAAUGACUGAAUUGGCAUAACGUAAAAAAGUUUAGGACUAAAUCGGCAGAAAAAAAAAAGAAGCUUUAUGACUUUUUUGGCACUUCUCCCCUUAUGUCGCAAUUUCAGACUCUUCUCAAUUUGUUGCGUUGGCAAAUCGUAUGCAUGCAAUAUUUUUUUCUUGAAUUUGGAGUGCAUGAUAGAGUCUACUUUACUUGAAUUUACAAUCAUUAAUAUUUUUUCAUUCCCGUAAAGUGAAUUUAAUCAUUUUGUACUUUGAAUGCAUACUUUAUUAGAUGCAAUAUUUAAAAUAUAUUAUGGAGAGAUUUUCCCACUUGACUGUCGCUUUUUCUAGACAAAGCUCUUCGACUUUUAUUGGGAGAAAAAAGAAUCAUUUUAUGAAAUAUGAAUACAUAAAAGGGGAAAAAGUCAAUUUUACUAUAAUAUAUAACAUUUUUUUUUAUUUACAAGAGAUAAUUACAAUGAAAGUCUGUGUAGAAUUAGCAAAUGUGCACUCGUGUUGUGUGCGCAAGAUAUUGAUAUUUGAAAGAGUAAGUUUGUUACAUAAUAUUUUAAUCAUUAAACAUUGGGAUAUUUAUAUUGAUAUAAAAUAUACAAUAAAAGAAACUGUAUCUCUUUGAUGAAAGAUUCUAGGAAAAUGCAAAAGACUUUAAGAUGAAAUGAUUUUUUUGAAAAUGUAAAUAGUAUUUGGUAAAAUAUAAUUUAAAAACACAUGCAAAAACAAUUUUGACGUAAAUAAUAUUUGGAUAAAACUACCUAAUUUUUUUUUUUUUUAAUAAAAGUUUCAAACAUUGUCAACGGAACUCAAGCCACUGGCAAGCCAAAUUGACUGUUGGUGGCUACAUCUAGCCAUUGGCCAAUCUCAAUUGAGUCAUGCAACCUAGGCCUCGCAUAAGGUUGGGCAACGGCGACUUGCCAGCUGCUUGCUAGUUGCUAGGGCCUUCACUGACAAUGUUGAGAUUUUGGAAGACAUUUAUGUAAUUAUGAAAGUAUAGCGGGGGCAAUCUUAGAAGGGGUUAAAGCUUAUUUUGAAUUUAGAAAAUGCUCAAAACUCAAAGUACUUAUGAACCUUCCUCGAGCUAAAGCCUAAAGGCCUUUUGAGGCCUUUCGAAAUGCAAUUGUAUUUUUCCAAAAUUAUCUAAAAAAAAUUGUUGAACAGUAUUUGCAUUUGUCCAAGAGACUUUGGAGCCCAAAACCUCUUGAGAAUGCAGUUCUCAAAUGCAGCCAAUAAUGUCCAACUUCUAAUAUUGGAAAAUGAUGAAUUUACACAAUUCUUUCAUGGGCACAAUUUUUGUAAAAUAAGUAACCAAGUAUGUUUGGAGGAAGAAAAACGAUUGAGAUACCUUGAAAUUAGAAGGAUCUUUCUACUUUAUGUUAUAAUAACGUAAACGAAUACUCGAAGCAGUUUCAAGUGGUCGUAAAAUAGUGAAGACGCAAAUUUAGUGCGCAUCUUUAAUUUUAGGAAGACAUGACGAUUUUUGUCUUCUCUAUGAAGUUGAAAUUCUGUCCACCAUAAAGUGAUUGAUCCCACUCUGAGACACAAGCCUAAUGAGCCACAUCAGGCUUUUUCCAUAUGUGGUUUAGAAUAUUUUUAUAACUUCUAUCCAAGACGGGCUUUGUAUUCAGUGAAGUAGACUACUUCUCGUGAAUCGAUUAUGUGGACUAGGUUUACAAUGAAAUGCGUCAACACGAUAAUUAGUGAUGGUGAUUCUCACAUGAUUUGAAGGUCGAGAUGCUAUUUAGACAAUAAAUUUGAUUCUGAGAUACUAUGUUGACUUAAUAUUCGGUAGUCAAUUUUGAAAAGAACAACUAAUUGAAAAUAUAUUGGUUGAUCCUUUACAUCUCGUUCUUCACCUAAAAGAUUAAUGCUGGGUGAUAAGACGUUUGAUCUUGUCGUGAACACUAGACAAAAUAUUUUCCAAUUGAUAUUUUUUCACAACACUCUUUUGGUCCCCCCGAGAGAUCAAUGUUCCUCUUCACCUUAUUUUUCUUGGAUGUCUCGAUAAAUUUCAGCCCACAUAAAUUUGUAUUUAUUUCUAAGGCACCUUCAUCAUCCUUUCAAAUUGACGCGGAUUCCAACUUCCAAAUCUGGCAUUAUUUUUCUCCUGAAUAUUCUUGUUUCCUUUUAUUAAUGUCAAAGUGUUUGGAAAAUAACAUAACUUGUUAGAAUGUUUAACACAAAUGCUUAAGAUUAAUAAUUGAGGUCGAUCAUAUGCGUAUAAAGUGCAUACAUAACCACAAGAGCGAUAUGAAAUAUUUGAACACUUUAUCUCAUGUACAAAAAGAAUUAAAUUUAACAAUUGCAUAUGCCAAUAAAUUGAACCAAAACCAGAAUCAUAUUAAGUUGUUCAUUCUAAAAACUUAAAUUCAUAGGUGGGGUGAAUUCAGAAAUUUAUCGACAAAUGAUUAAAAGAAAAUGAGAAACCUCCUUUCAAAGGAGGACGAUAUAUCAUAAAUAAAUAUCACUGCAUUUGGUCGUGUCUAGUCAUAAGUCAAGUCAAGUCAAGUCAAGGUCAAUAGAGAAAAGGCAAGUCACCUGGGUUUUGAUUGCAUGGUCGACAACUGCUUAUGAUGGCGUAACGUGCCUUUUGAUUAUUUGACUAAAUGAACUGUUCCAUACGUUAUUGUCCUCUUUGGCGCACUUUCUCCGUCAAAGCAAAUGCCUCCAGUUCAUCUGAAAAGACUAAACCAAGACUGAGGCAUGGCGUGCACGACGGUGUACGUCCCUCAUCGGGAAAAGAAAUAAUCACAGGAGAACGGCUUAUCAUCCCAAAAUUUAUUAGAGUGAUUGGUUCCGAUCCGAUUCGACUUUACUUAGGAACCGAGAAUAGGAUUAGGAGAACCGGUUCUCAAUUUUUGGGAUUAGGAAUCAGAUCGGAUCAACUUAGGAUUGGGAACCAGUCCGGUCUAGUCCCAUAAAAUCGAUUACUUAACAACAAAAGUUGAAAAAUUAAGAAAAAUGCAAGAAUUGUUAUUAUUUUUAAGCUUUAUUGAUAUUUUUAAGAAAUUUAAAAAUAUAUAUAUUUCUUUUAAAAAGGAGAUUGGUCUAGUCUAAUCCUGUCUAGUUCCAAUUCGGUCCAAUUCGAUUCUCUUCGGAACCGAAAUUGGAAAUUGAACGAAUAAUCAUUGGUUCCAUUUUUAUGGAAUUUGGGAACCAGACAAAACUGACAAAUUCAAUCCGGUUUGGACGAUUCUCAAUUUGGUCGGUUUGCCAUGCUCACCCCUAAAGUUUAUAGUUGUGAUCGACUGGUUCUUUGAUUGACGAAUUGUUAAGGACUUGCGAUUCAAUUUUUGGACUUUUGCCGCCAGAAAAGAUCAAAUAAAAUAGGCCCAUAAUAAACGAAAUUUAGUGACAUGUACUCAUUCAGAAAUAAUAAAUGGACCCCAUAAUUGUACUUUCAAAGGUCGUCAGGUGAGAGAACGGGGCCUGCCAUUCGGUUUUAAAUUUAUGACUCGAAAGGACCUCAUCGUUUUCUGUGUAAAUGGGCCCUACUUUCCUAGCAACUCCUAGAUCUAAUUUCAAUUCUAUUUUGAAUUUUUUAUUUUUUUAUCUCGAAAAAAAUCCACAAUUUUAGAUUUAGUUUUAAAUCAUUAUCGAUUUUUUUAUCUCAGAAAAAACUUCAAAGUUAAGGUCAAAUUCCAAAUAUGCCUCGAAUUUUGUUUUGUUAAAAAAAAAUCAUAAAUUUUCAAUUUAUUACCUAACUUGAUAUGAUAUUUUCACGUCAAUAAGAAAUCUAUAUCAACAAGAUGACAUGAAAAAUUAUCUUCAAAAUAAAAUUAUUUAUAGGAUAUGAAAAUUAGAGAUACUAAUGAGGAUUUUUGGACGGAGGAGGACUAAUGGGGCUAAAUUUGAGACGAGAGUAAGAAGUGACGAUUUUUCUUUUAGACAAAAAAAAUUUCGAGGGUAGAUUUAGGAUUGAAUUUAAAGUUAGGUGUUUUUUUAGACAAAGAAAAAUUUGGGCACAUUUGGAAUGGAUUAAAGUUUGAGGUUUUUCUUAUAGAUAACAAAAUUCAAGGCAAAAUUGGAAUUACACCUAAAGUUGGGUUUUUCUUAGGGACUUAGGCCAUGAAAAUGGUAUGUGAUAGUUCAGAACUUCGCUCGAUCCAAUUGAAGAUUUUUUUGAUAAUUGCCAGCCAUAAACACCUCUAGUAAAAAAAUUUAAUCUACUUAUCUUGAUCUAUUGUGCUAAACUUUUUACCGACUCGUUUCCUCCUUUUGAGAUCAACUUGAAGUUUUAGAUCCGUUGUGCCACAAAAGAAAAUAUGAUAUAGAUGUGUAAAUUGACGGAGUAAAUUUACCGAAAUUACUUUUAAUAUGGAGGGUUCUUAGGUGAUGGUAUCAAUGUAACCUGGGGCCAAUGUAGGAAAAUGUGAUUGUGAGGGAUUUAGAAUUUUUGUGGCCGUAAUGCAAACUAUUCAAAUUCCUUUAACUGCAUAAUUACGUAUGAAAUAUUAAGUCGGUGUCACUAAUACAACUUGCCUUUUGCAAUCGGAAAUCGCUUACUAAAGGGUUUAUCCCGACCUUCUUUGCGUGUUUGUCAUCCCGACCGAAUCAUUUAUGCUUUCGAAUCGGAGUCAUUGGAGAGUUUCCUUUGAAUUUAAGGUUGUCCAUGCACGAAGAAAAACCCUAGAAAGAGUGUCCGAGGUUGCGGUGAAACUCUAAGGUUCCCUUAUUCUAAGGAGCUUGAAGCACAAUGUUGUUAAAAAAAAAGUCCAGUAAAGAAGCCACGCGGGACCGCACGGAUCAAAGCAAGAGCAAAGUAAUGGUGAGGAAACAGCACAAAUUACCAAAAGGUGAAAGGAAUUCCAUAAAAUUGUGAAAGUAGUGGAAGUAUAAGUAGAAUUAAUCUUUUUUUUUUAUGGUAAAUGAUAAAAAUGCAACACCAACAAAAAUAGAAAUUAUUUGAGUUAUGAUAAAUGUUUGUUUUAUGAUUCAGUCAGAACACUCUUCACCUGUUUAAUAAACGCCCAUCACUUCUCAUAAUUAACUAUUGAGAUCUCCAAUGGCAAAAGAUGAAAACUGAAAAGCAACCAAGAAAGAAAAUCAGAAAUAAUUCUGUUGGUUCCUACGUUCUCACACUUUGUGGGUUUGCCAUCCAAGCGUCAUUUGCAAGGGAAAAUGAGAUCCUCAUGACUAAACUUUCACGCGUAGAGAUUUUCGCGGCAAAUUCUUGUCUAGACUCAGAUGCAUAUGAACCGAAUCAAUCACACUUGCCCAUCACAUGUAUUGCACGUAAAUUUCACAAAAUCAAAUGGCUGUGAUCGUGCUUGGUUGGACUUGCCGUGAUGUCGGCGAGUAUUUUCAAGAAUGCCAGUGGAGCACUCCAAUAGAAAAAGGGAAAUAAAAAAUGUAAAAUUAGAGGUAGUUGAAAGGUAUCAAAUUACUGAUCUUGUGACACUGAGGGUGACACACAAAAGAGAAGUCAUGCAUAUCUGCUUUUAACAAAUGUAAAUUUUGUUGGUGGAUCUUUUGCCCUUAAAAUAAUUUAGAACAUUAACUUAGCGGGUGGGAAACCAAAUAAGUUUUCUUCACUCUUCAUUUAUGGAGGUAACAUGAAUUAUAUUAUAUAGAUAAGUAAUUAUAGGUAGAUAAAGAUUAACUAAAACUUUUUGAAAAAGUGAUAGGUCAAACCUUAGCGAAUAUUGAAUGUGAUUUAUUUAAGUGUAUGCUUCUUCUUGUAGUAUAUACUGAUUUCAUAUGCACUCUUAUUGUAUUUAAUAUUUUGAAACAAAAUUAAGUAAGAAAUUAAUACUUGACAUGUAAUAGUUCUUGUGUUGACUAGACACACGUUGAAUAAAGCACCUCGAAAUUCACUUGAUUCUUCACCUAAAUUUCCAAUUCUCAAUAAUCAAUGCAAUAGCUAAUUGUGGAAGGAGAUUAAUAAACCACUGGGGUUUGUCUUAUGAGGAGGGGAAGGUGGAGGUUCAAAUUCUCGCAUUCUCGGAGAUUGGGAUAGAGAUGAUUUAAUUUUAAGUAUGAAUUUCAACUUUCAUGUCAUGUAAAAAAGUAUGACAAAAAUACGAAAGUGUGAGUUAAAGUAAGAAUAGAAGAGGACCGGCAAAAAAAAAGAAAAAGAAAUUUAUACUGUAGGAAAACGUGACACGCUCUUUUCAUAUUACUACAUUAAAGGUUUUGAAGAAAUUCAGAAGGGCAACAGAUUUUUUUUGAAUCCUUUUGUGAGUACUCAAUCAGUGGUAAUUUCUGAGAAGGUGAGUUAUAAUUACUGAAAUCCAAUAUUAGAUAUUUACCAAAGUUGUAACGGGACCAUAAGCAGAUUCCCAUUAAUUUUGGGCAAUUGUGAUUAAGAUCUGCGAAAACUUCGUGGAAAUGUCAUCCAAGAAGCUACCGUGAACUUUCCAGGAAGUUCUCGCGCAAUAAAAAUUCUUGUUACACUGCACUAUAUAAUCUAAUAACCCAAUGCAUCUGUUCCACCCAAGUCAACCAGUGUUUUGACUCCCUAAUACUAAUCUUCAUCCUCUGAAGCCGACUCGUUUUGCGGAUCCAAGCACACCCUUUUGUCUUCUCCCUCUCUGUUGCUCAUCCAUGUCGUCGUUGAGGCUCCGUCAACCUAGCGAAGAAGCAGCAACCGAUGCAGUGCUCGACCGCGGCGAUGGCCCGACGAAUAUCAUCCACAGGCGGAGAUGGCGCCUGGCUUUCACGGUCAUAUACUUCAUGAGGGCUCUCGAGUCUCUGUCGAAACAAGUCCUCGGGAAGAAGACGGACCUGUUGCGGACGCUCUCUUACGUUGUCAUCAAUGUCAACCUCGAGGGCAGUGAUAAUCCACGUGAAGGAGAUUGCCCUUCGCUUCGGGACGUCGGUCCGAAGAUCCUGAGUAACCUGGUAAGAGAGAAAAGCUUUGAAUCUCUUGCUCAAAUUGGUGGCGUUAAACGACUCGCUUCAAUUCUCAUGACAAAUCUUGAAAAUGGCUUGAGUGGGGAUGAAACCGACCUCAUGCGCCGAACCAAUGUUUUUGGUGCGAAUAAGUACAAUAAGCCCCCGGCAAAGAGCUUUCUCAGUUUUGUGCUUGAUGCGUUCAAAGACAUGAUCAUAAUCAUUCUCAUAGCAUGCGCUGUUCUCUCUUUAGCAUUCGGUAUCAAACGGCACGGCCUUAAAGAAGGUUGGUAUGAUGGUGGGAGUAUAAUCAUCGCCAUCUUUCUGGUCGUCAUUGUCUCUGCUGUCAGCAACGAUAAGCAAGGAAGGCAGUUCCGGAAACUUUCAAAAGAGAGCAGCAACAUUAGAGUAGAGGUUGUAAGAGAUGGCAGGAGGCAACCAAUCUCCAUAUUUGAUAUUGUCGUAGGCGAUGUCGUGUAUCUCAAGAUUGGUGAUCAGGUUCCGGCUGACGGGUUAUUUGUUGAUGGCCAUUCCCUGAGAGUUGACGAGUCUAGCAUGACUGGUGAAAGCGAUCACAUCAAAGUCGAUAGUGAGAACCCUUUCUUGCUCUCGGGCACCAAAGUGAUCGACGGCUACGGUCGAAUGAUGGUUGCUUCUGUCGGCAUGAACACUGCAUGGGGAGAGAUGAUGAGCUCUGUGAGCCGUGACUUAGACGAAGAGACCCCGCUCCAAGCCCGUCUAAACAAGUUGACUUCCUUGAUCGGGAAGGUCGGGGUGUCGGUGGCUAUGCUGGUACUUCUCGUCUCGAUGAUCCGCUACUUCACUGGACACACCCAAGAUGAUGCCGGAAACAGAGAAUUCACCAGCGGGAAGACCAAGUCGGGGGACGUGAUGAACGCUGUUGUGCGCAUAGUUGCUGCAGCAGUGACCAUUGUGGUGGUGGCUAUACCUGAGGGCUUGCCUUUGGCCGUCACUUUGACACUGGCCUACUCCAUGAAGCGCAUGAUGGGUGACAAUGCCAUGGUCCGGAAGCUCUCCGCCUGUGAAACCAUGGGUUCUGCCACAACGAUCUGCACGGAUAAAACCGGCACUCUCACGUUAAACGAGAUGAGAGUGACAGAGUUAUGUAUGGGAAAAGAACAUGUGAGUGUAGAUGCAUCCAAAGAAAUAGCGACCGGCAUCGUUGAAGUCCUCCUACAAGGAAUCGGAUUGAACACGACAGGUACUGUCCACAUGCGACCUUCUGAACCUGUUCCUGAAAUUUUAGGCAGCCCAACUGAAAAGGCGAUACUUUCUUGGGGCGUGUCCAAAUUGGGUAUGACGAUGGACGACCUGAAGCAAGAAUGGGAGAUAGUCCAAGUCGAGGCAUUCAAUUCUGAGAAAAAGAGAAGUGGGAUCGCUGUGAGGAGGAGAAGAGAGCAGGUAGUUCACAUACACUGGAAGGGAGCUGCUGAGAUGAUCUUGGCAAUGUGUUCAGAUUAUUAUAGCCAAAGUGGGAUGGUGAAUGUCAUGACUGAUGAAGCAAGGUCUGAUUUCAGGACAGUAAUUGAAAAUAUGGCAGACAAAAGCCUGCGCUGCAUCGCAUUCGCCUACAAAAAGUUCGAUGGCUCACUUGCUCAAUUUCAUGGGAAACUUGAGGAAGAUGGGCUUACAUUGCUGGGGAUAGUGGGGAUAAAGGACCCAUGCAGACCAGGCGUGAGAAGGGCAGUGGUGUCUUGUAGAAGCGCUGGGGUGAACAUCAAGAUGAUCACAGGAGACAACAUGCACACUGCAAGAGCUAUAGCCUUGGAAUGCGGGAUAUUCAAUCCGGAGGAAGAUCUCGAACAUGAAGCCAUAGUGGAGGGUGUGCAGUUUCGCAACUACUCGCCUGAACAGAGAGCGGCAGCAAUCGAGAAAAUCCGGGUAAUGGCUAGAUCAUCCCCAUUUGAUAAGCUUUUGAUGGUGCAGUGCUUAAAGCAGAAAGGGC
rnacentral:lncRNA from 1 species